rnacentral:lncRNA from 1 species
UUUCUUCUCCUAGGAAUGCUAUUUAACCGGACAAUGGCUAGCACAGCAUACAUAAACGAUCAUCUCCUCAUCAACAACCUCCUUCUAAACCUGUCAUACCCCGAGGAAGUAAUCUCAAGGUCCAGAAUGGCAGUGAAUACUGGGAACACAAUUGGUGUCGUUCUCCUCCUGGUCGUGAUGGUAGCGGCGGUAUCAACACCAGUGGCAACUACCGAAGAGUUCUGUUGGGACAAAUGUAUCAAGCGCUGCAAGGGAGAACUAGAGGUUUGCAGCCCAAAGUGCAUUCAUUUUUGCAACUAUCAAUCCGGAGCCAUAGGAUAUGUUAAGUGGGCUGCCGAUAAACUGAAGGAGGCCGCUGCUGCCCCGCCCGAAAAGGCCGUCCUCCUCAAGAAUGAAGCUCAAACGUACUUAGAACGUGCCAAUGCUCUCAACGAGAAAGCUGGGACACCAUGAGUGUGCACCCUUCCGUCUAUAGGUGUCGCUGUUGUUAUGGUGUCUAAAAAUGUUUUGUUUAUUUAAAUUGUCGUGGUUGCAUCCCAUUUUUUGUUUCUUUGUUAAAGUAAUAUCUUUUGUAUUAUGAUGACAUGCUUCUUCCAGCGACUCAGUUUCUCUUGUUGACUUUACUUAUGUAUAUUGAUUUUCAUUUGAUUUGGCUAUGUAAUAAUGAAGUUCCUUCGUAUGGAAAUGUUCCUUUUAAUGCCCACAGUGCAUAUUCUCCUAUUUUAUCUCCAUGCAAUAAGGAUUGGGAUCUUUAGGAUGUGUAAAACAAUCCGUCUACAUUCAAGACCAAUAAGGCAUGCAUAUUCUAGAGAAACAUCCAUGUAAGUGCUUGUGCAUUUUUUAGAAAAUGUUCAUAUAUAUGUAAAAGACUAACCUUGAAAUUCACAUGUUUUCUUAAAAAAUCAUGUAAGUGUUUUGCGCAUUCUAAAAGAAGAAAUGGAAAACACCAGGAAACCACAUAAAUUAGACGUUUUUCCUAGGAAAUAUAUGCCGGAAAAGCCAACCAUCCGAAAUAACGAUGGGCAAAAAAAUAUAAAAAAUUGGCCAUCUAUAAUUUCCCACAGCCACUGAGGCAAUCGAACUUAGUCUUGUGAUUGUGAAAUUAUCGAUACAACUUUGUUGAUUAUUUGUUUGUUCCUCUUCAAGAAAAUCAUGUAUUAGAAACAUUUUUAUGUCAUCCAUCCCUAUCCUCUCAUCUCUCUAGUACAAGACAAGGCUCCUAAUUAAGGUGUAGGACUCCUUAGGGCUCCUCGUCCGUCCUUCACACCAUGUAUCAUGUAAACGUACGACCGUCAUCGGGUGUUAACGUUGCUUUACCAUCCUUGGAGUACAUAAGGUAAAACACUGUACUUCACCUUCUGGUCUAGGUGAUAAGGAGUUUGCAUGGAAGAAUAAGGCCUGACACCUACACUCGGAACCUACGGUUUCCUUGGCCACCGUCUCCUUGGGCUUGGUGAGGCCAUGGCCAUGCCGAUACCGCUAGUGUAGAUAAGUCAUAAAUCCAAGUCCAAGUCACGAGGGUGCCAACAAGACAUCAGCCACAUCCUCAGCAUCUACUUUUGCAUCGUCGAUGCCCCGGACACCAUGUAUACGGGUCACCUAAUCUCAAUCUCGUGUGCUUAAUAAGUAAGUAAUUACUAAGAUAGUUUCCAGGAACCUUGAAUUUUUUUACAAUUGCAAAAGUAAAAAUUGUAUUUUUUCAGCGACAUUAUCCAUCUAGAAAGGCAUCGCCAAACCACUAGCUCUAGCAAUAUAGCUAAGUCCUUCUUUUUUAAUGCACUUCUUAGGAACUCCCCACAGUUUUCUAAAAUUGGCAUUGUUGUUUUUCCCUUUUUUUUCUUACAAACCUGAUGAAAAGGUAGGGGCAUAUGCAUGUCAUGUUGUAAGUCAUGCAUGUUGAUCAGGUUACACGGUAGCCAUUCCUCCUUGUUUUUACACAAGCACAUAUUGGUGACAAGUGAUUGGCUAGAAAGAUUUAUUUUCCAUGGUGCAAGUAAAUGUUCCGGCUAAAAUUCUACUCCCUCCGUCCCUAAAUAUAAGACCUUUUAGAGGUUCCACUAUGUAGUCAUAUUUUAAAAUAUAGAUUCAUACAUUUUUCUCCGUAUCUAGUCUAUAGUGAAAUCUCUAAAAGGUCUUAUAUUUAGGAACGGAGGGAGCAAUGAUCUAUUUAUGACACAGCCAUACAUCAUGGACGACCAUCAGUAUUUUCCUUUUGAAAAUCAUCUGAAUACAAGUAGUGAUUGUUUGAUUGUAUCUUGCAUGCAUGUGUUGCAAAACGGCAUGACUUGGAUUAUACAUGCACAAUUCAAUGGGACAAUAAAGAGGCCAACAAAAUAUCUAGUAGUAAUAUAUGUUUUUGAAUAGCAUGGCAUACGAUGGGCUAUAGGGGAAUGAUCAUAAUACGUAUGUACGGGGGGAGGAUUCCUCUCUAAUACCAGUAGCUUGAAAAAUUUGUAUCACUGUCAAAUCAAUAGGUCUCUUGUGCUUUGUGGUGUAACUUGUGGCUGAAGUUCAGUGAGCCAAAUGAACUUACAACACUGUCUCAUGUUAGUGAACCUUCUCUGCACGAAACAAUAUGAUAGUAUAUAGCUAUAUGCUUCAAGUGUUUUGAUUUUUAUAUUACCGCAACUCCGACCUAUUGGGUCAUUUUCUGCAGCCAACAAUAUGCUUCUUUAAUCUCUGUUACCAGGCACUAUAAUAGUGCAUGCCUAUACCCGAAACGUUUUCUAUGGGCAUAAGCAAAAUGUAUCGUAUAAUUAACUUAUUUCCUCUUAGAGGUGUUACCCAAGGGAUUUUGUAUAAAAUUUGAUCUAAUUAUUCAAAUGUUUCCUAAUCCUAAUCAAAAAUCAUCAAUUUCAAACAAUUCAUCCAAAACUUUGAAGAAUUGUUUUUCUUUAGGCCGCAGUGCCACCGCCCCCUAGUUCUCACCACGACUUAACCAAAUCGCAUGUUGCCGCUACGUCUUCCCUUUGGGUCGUAGUGGCGUGAGGCAGGCUCCCCACGACACACAAGCCACCGCUACAAUGCCCCUCCGGGAUGUAGUGCUGCGACACACGGUUCUCGCUGCCACCCGAGGUCUUUCUGCCGUCGCACCGACCUGCUCGCCGCCCCGAGGUCUUCCCCCCGUCACCCCAACCCGCGCGUUGUCACCUCGGGAUGUAGUUCCCGAUGCGCGGUCCACUCCGCAGUGCCCUGCUCGUUGACUUCAUGUGGUAUGCACCUGUCAGAUUUCGGGCUCCGCAAUACCGUAAGGAUUCGAACAUUGGGGCGUGCAUGAAGAUCUCUCCCUGCUUAGCCUCGCCUAACCCACUACUCGAUGGAAACAAUGAGGGACUCACUUGAUGGCGACGGUUGCAUAGAACACAAUAGCUUACGGUAGCACAUAACACAACAGUUUACCCAGUUUCGGGCACCUGCGAAGCGUAAAACCCCACUCCUGCUUUUGGUGGAUUGCCUCUCGUGGAGGUGGUGGAUGAAUUGGUACAGUGCUCUCGAUCCUCCGGAGGCCAAGUGGCUAGGUGUAUUGCCCUACGGUUCGAAUGAACUCUCCCCUACCAAGUGUUCUACCCACUCAAUUUAUAGCGGAGGCCCGGGUCCUCUACUCUCGUAGCUUCGACGGGAAGGGAUCCCACUGUCGCCAAUUUUGAAGGGGAACACGGGAACAUGCUCCCCUUCCCAAAGGUGGUCAUCGCCUGCAAAGUAACUGUCCGUGCUGCAGGGACUGUCCCGAGGAUGACGUUUGCCCUACUGGCAUGCGGCAACGGCUUCGUUGCACCAUAAGGGAAACCUUUGGAAGAUGCCUUUGGAAUGCUUGUACGCUUCCGCCUCCUUCCGCUUCUGCUGAUUGCCUGUCCUUUCCUGGCGUCACCCUUGACUCCUGAGGCCCGACCUUGCCUCGGAAUAUCCGCCACUCCGGAGGGGUCCUGAGGAGGCCCUUGCGGUUCUUGACGCUGCUCCUCCUCGUCAGGUUUGGCCCCUCACGAGGGCGAUACCCUGAAUGGUGCCGAGCCCGUUGGUUUAUUCCAAUGAGGUGGGCCCGCCUUGGGCAACACGCAUGCACGUCUGGGUACCCCCAUUCCCAGAACGCCGACAGUAACCCCUGGGCCCGCGGAGUGCUCGGGUUGGCUUCGGGGCGGAGCCUAGGGGGGCAUCAUGAGGCGCCCUUGGCCCUGAAAUGCCUCUAGGCCAGGCCUGCACAUGUCACGCGGCUGGUGUCGGGUCCUCCGUGUUCUCUGUCUCUGCCCCCUUAUUAGGUGCCUUGCUUGUACCUUCGGUGCCUCAUUGCUUUCCUUCUUCCGUACUCGCCCUUCCUCUUUGGUCUCUGACUCCAACUGGCACCUCCCAGAUCCAGCGCCGCGUAGUUCCUUGCCAGUUCAACAAUGGCGCCCGCCAGCAAGCAAAAAACCAAAGGGGCAUGGUCCGGCCCUGACUUCUCUGCUCCUGGACUGCACCCUCUUACAGGACACCAAUCUCGUCCUCGUGCUUCCAUGGACCACGACCGAGUCCAACGAGCAUGGGCGAACCGUGAUAUGGCCUGGCGCCAUAGAGGAGCGACUCGCGUCUCGGGCAAUAUACCCCUUCUUCCUUCACGGUAUUUACGUUGGGCUGGUGCCGCUUUUCUCCCAGUUCUAAACCGUUGUCUUGGACCACUAUGGGAUCCAAGCCCUUCAUCUCCAGCCCAACUCCAUCUUGCUUCUAUAUGUCUUUGCUUUCAACUGUGAGGCUUUUGUGGGUGUGCAGCCUUCGGUUGCCCUCCUCCGCCACUUCUGCAGCUUGCGCCUGCACGACGGCGCUCAUUUGUCGGCGUGUGUCUCCUUCAUGGCAGCCUAGAGUGGCAACGUGCUCUUGAAGGUCGGGAAGAAGGUGGGUAACUUCACGCACCACUAGGUCCUUAUGUGCCUUAACGAUGCCAACCCUCGGUUGGAGGAGCCGAAGGAGUUGCUGGAGAAGACCUACGUGUGGAGCUCGGCGAAGUUCUCCGUCCCUCGGGUUGUGCCCGUGCUGGAGCGCUUUUCCCGCAACAUCAGCGCCAAGAGGAUGACCGGAAAAAUGAUAGUGAAGGAGUUCCUGGCGCAACGCCUGGCGCCUCUCCACGCACACUCCAAGCCCCUGUGGGAGUAUCGGGCUGGCGACGACGAGCUCCGGCUCCGGACCCGGAACCUCCCCAUACAAGACCUGAGCAGGGUCAUGGCGAUCUUGCUGGGCGUCGACCCUGGCGACCUUCCCGAGGCCCUAGGUCCAUUAUACCAUCGUGACGACCGGGCUGACCUGGUAGCUGCGAUGCCUGUCUUCAACGAGUGGGGGCCUCCUCGCACAUGGACAGUGCCUGCAGGGGGCCCGCAUCGACCCUGCUUGCAAUGCAGUCCGCGUGCGUGCUUGCUUCCCGGAGGCUCAGGGCUGAGCUAUUCUCGGUGCAUCCCACCUCUAUCGGCGAGGGGGGGUACCAUGCCGCCGAGCUCGCCUCCCUCCGUGGGGGGCCUGUCACCUGUGCUGUUGCGAAUGCAAAGAGGAAGAAGAUAUGGUGCGAUGUUGAAUUGUAAGCUACUUGCCUGGGCACGCCCUGCGCGUCUAUUGUCCGUGCUUGGCUGAUCCCCCCUUUACUUGUCUUCCAUGGAUGUUGUCUCGCCGGUGGCGAAGAGGAACAAGACGGUCGUCAAGCCGAAGGCGACUCCCGACGCCCCGCCUACUCUCAUUGGUGCACUACCAUCUGCAGGUGGGGAAGGGGAUGAUCGUGGGGCCGUCUCCCUGGCCUUGGUUGUCGAGCCCCCAAAGCAUGCAGAAGUGACCGUGGGGACGCCGUUGCAUGAGGGGCAGGCCGACGAGGGCCCUCAAGCUCGUCAAGCGUCAUUGCUCGCGAUCGCUGAGCAGUCUUCGGGGCCCCCGUGUUCUUCACAGCACUACGCCUCUGGCGACACCACCCGCGCGUGCGCUGGAGGAUCUGCAGGAGGAGGUCCAGAAGACCUCGGUGUUCACCCAAGGUAUCUUGAACGCGACAUUCACCGCCUUGAGCAAUAUCGCCGACGAGAUGGGGAAGGCCGAGAGGGAGGCCGAGGCCGCGAGUGCCUUGCAUGAGAAAGCACUAAAGGAGGCUAAGGCGGCUGUCGAACGCUGUGAAGAGGUGGAAACCCGCCUCAACUUCCUUGAAGGAGGACUAACCAAGCUGGCCGAGCAGCGUCGCCUGUAGGGGGAGGAGCUUAAAUCCCGCAAGACCAUGCUCGCCGCCCGGGAGGAAGAGAUGUCCCAGGAGGAGAGCAGCCUGAGCAUGAAGUAGGCGCGCUUGGAAGAGCAGGAGAACGAGGCCGCCUCAAGGAAGGCCCUCCUUGACGCCCACGAGAAAGCUCUCGCCCCGGCUGAGGAGGGGAAAACCACCAAGCUGGCCUCCUUCCCUGACGUUGAGCUCAGGCUUCGCACGGCGCUCCGCUCCCUCUGCCGGGACGAGUUCGAUGAACCUCUGGCCACCCCAGAGGAUGUCUUUGCCACGCUCGUGAAGGGGCUCGUAACGGCGCUGGAGAUUGCCGUCGUGCAGGUGGACAAGAUCUUGGACAUCGAGUGCCGCGACCUCUUCUUCGUGGCUCCGACUCGGGUCUUUAGCCACCUUCAUCUUCGCGACGCCGAAUUUGAUCUAAGCUUCGUGAUCGUGCGGAGGGGGUGAAGGGCCCUGUGGAGGCGUUGGUGAGGAGGUUCGCUCGCGUCGCAGCUCCUUCGUCUCCACGUGUCGUUGGAGCCGAUGAUGGGGAAGACGAUGCCUCUGACGUCGACGACUAGCCCCCCGUGGAGGGGGCGACCGACGGCGGCUCCUCUUGAUUUCUUGUCCCUGUUACUUUCCUGCAAUGCACAUCAUGCCUCGCGGAGGCGUUGAACUUAUUUGCGUUUUUAUGAACUUGGUCACGGUUUGUAAUAAUUGAAUGCUUGAAUGUUUUCCUCGCCUUGUGUCACACCCUAUUUUUACUACCACUUCUUUGUAAUGCAAAAUCUGAGCUUGUUAAAACUUUUUCAAAACUAAUGAUCUGAGUGCCAUGAUUGUAAUUGUAUGCUUGUGUGUUUGAUCAUGUGAUGAAAAUCCCCAUUUCACAAUACUGAUUUAUUUCCAAAAACCUUUACAUGUCUCUGAUUAAGGUAAAACCCUACUUUGAGUUGCACUACAUGCCCUUGAUGGUAAGAAGUGUUUCUACCCAAAGUUGGUGAUCUGAUUUUAACUUCAUUUUAGUGCCUUAAAACUACAAAAUAAUUAUUUUUAGAAUUAGUUUCCUAAUUAAAUUGCAUGUCCAUUUCUGAGGCCAGAAUUGGUAUUCCUACAUGGAAAAAUACUUUUCUGCCUUAAAAAAAUCUGAUUAAAUUUGCAGAUGAUUAGAAGGACAUAUAUAUUACAUACAUAAGAUUUUAAACCUUAUUUUAUAUUAUAAUUAUUUGAAUAAAAACCUGGAAGCCAUUUCUGGUUGUUUUGACCUUUUGAAUUAUUUCCAAAGGAAAUAUUCUCAAUAAACUCCUAGAAAAUUCCAGUAGUAUCCCUAAGCCAUAUUUGGUGUCCACAUAAAGUUUCCCCUUGGUCCAAGGUGACUAAGGACCCCAAAUAACCCCAAAACACCUUUUGUCCAGAUUGAAGUUAGAGCAACUCUACAUUGCAAAGUUUAUCCAAUGAAGCUGAAAUUUUGCAGGAGUGCCUAAUACCUCAAAUGAGGGUUCCACACGAAAAAUGGGAUUUUUGGGAUUUAGUUUGCCCACACUGUCUUUGGAAGGGACAUAUCUGGUCAAAUUGAACUGUUUUCAAGUCUACAAAGCUAAACUUGUCCAAUGGAGUUCAAACUUGGUGAAACCCCAUGUUUUAGCACCAAACCCAAACUUGUUAAGUUGCAGCACCAGUGGUGGGGUGUAACCCCCUCAAACCACUGUCGAGCACCUUCUGACAGAUAGGGAAAAGUCACCUUAGCCACAGCCAAACCCGACCCCUUUGCUCCAAACUCAAAUAUUAGGUGGCCAGUAUCCAUAUCUAACCCCAGUCAACUAGCCCCUCACUGGUUCAAAGUGGAAAGGCCAAAAACUCCAAUUUAGGCUCCACCUCAAGGCUGACUGCACUAGCAUUUCUUGUCUCCUUUGACAAGCCAAAGCUCCCACGAGACCCAAACGGCUAGCCACACUCCCAGCUAGUGCCAGGACAUGCUAGACACGUCCAAAGUGCCUCAGAGCGCACCAGCAUGCCGUGGCAUGCCAAAACUAUGCUCUGAGCGCGCUACAGUCAGCCACCAAGGUGGAGGCGACGCUCUCGGCCAGUUCCAGCCUCCCCCGAGGUGUCCAACCUCUUCCCAGACAACCCCUUUGCAUCGAGCAACCCUCAAGGCCCCUCCUCCCCCGCAUUAGAGCUCGUGAUACGCGUGCCCGCGGCACCAGAACCGGCCAAGGUUGCGUGGCCACGGAUGCUCGACUCCUCCCUCUCUCCCUCUGCAGUAGAUGGUUCUGGAAGUCCAAAACCAUGUCCUUAGACCCUGGUUUCAACCCCAGCCCCUCUCUGCACCCCCAUGCACACCACGGUGAGUCACCGAUGCUCCCGAAUCAGCUCACCUUCGUGGGCCUAUAAUUAGCCAUCCCCCUCACUCCUGCACCCCUCAGAUAGCUUCACCAUGACCAAUAGCACCUCCUUAGCCACCCCAGCAACGAGCAGAGCCCCGGUGCUCGAGAUCGACCGAAGCCCCUCCGCCUCGGAGCUCCGAUUGAUCUCCAGCAACACGACGACUCCUGCGCCCCUCGACCCACCAAACUGAUCCCCUCAACCCCAGGAAGCUUUCCCCCAACUCGCCCGACCAUUUCCGUGUUUCUAGACACCUCCUCGACCACCUCCCGAAACUCCUCCUUCACGGCCUCCUCGUCGCCGGUGAACCCCUGCCUCUCCAACGUUGUUCCGACAACCAGUAGGUAGGAAACGUCAUGGUAAACCCAUUCCAGUCCUUGUUGGGGCCUGAGAGCAUCCGCAGCCUCGCCGACAUGCUCAUCCUCCUCUCUGCCAGAGGUAGGAGACGACCCCGACAGGUGUGCCCCACCUAUCGAUGGCCCAACCUCCUCCCCAGCGCUGUCCACAGCCACUAACCGCAGGGCCCCGCACGUCAGGUUCCAACCUGACGGCGCGUGCGCCUGGGCACGCUGUCGGCUGGCCUUGGGCCAGUCCAACACCAUGCGCUGGUUCUAACCUAUGUGAGCUAUUUCUUAUUUAUUGUUUUAUCGACGAUAGAAAAUCCGUGUGACUCGGGAAUCGGAGCGGAAGACCUCGAAGACCCCGGAUACCUAGCUGACCAAGGCAAGCAACCCUUUGACCAUGACUGAGCAUAUGUUACUUUGCAUGUUUAGAUAGCAAGUAUUUCCGUUGAAUAUGAUCAUAAGUGCCGGUAAUCAUUUGAUAUGAUUUUAACGAUGGCUCCCCCGGAGCACAUGCAUUGAGCUUGAUCCUACCCCUUGAGGGUCAUGCUAAUAUCAUAUUGACAAGUAAAGUUAGAAGUAGUAUUAUCAUGAGCAUGUUGAUGACAUAAACGAAAGAGUUUAUGAAAACCCCGUCGGGUGCCACUAAUGCCCGAGGGUGAUGAUGAGUUAGGUGUCCACUUUUGGUGAAGUGGUGCACCGGGUACUUUGAGUGAGUAUGGUUUCGGAAAUGGGAUUAGAUUUAUGAUGUGUCGACCGUCCCAACCUUACCAGUACGACCAUGUUACCCCUUAUGGGACGGGGCUAUGUUAAUUACUCUAGUCGUUGCUAGCAAAGAGACACAUUACUAGUGGCAGGAGUGAUGUGUGGUGACUCUCGUGAUGGGGUCAUGCCAGGUAGGACGACUAUGCCAUUUUUAUGAGUUCUAGUCACACCAUUAGUCCCCACAUGGUUGGUACUGUCCAGAGUCGGUGCUCGUAAGACAGAGAACAUGUGGGCUGGGUACCAAUCGAGUGGACCUCUUUGUCUAAUAUCGUCAGGGGAAAGGCAUUGAUCGGGUACUUACGUCAGGUAUGUUAUAUACCGCGAGUCGUGGAUGACACGGAAGUUUCCCGGAUCUCGUGGGUCCAGCGUACUACCUCUGCAGAGUGUAAAACUAUUCGAAUAGCCGUGUCCAUGGUCAAGGACAGUUGGGUAAUCCUGCUUAAACUACGUCCAGCUGUUUCCGCAUAAACCAAGUGUGUGUGUUGUGUUAAAAACGUGUUGUUAUGAAAGUAAUGAUAUGACCAAGUUUGGUGACUUGGCAUAUAGGGUGAGCACGGAUGGCUCGUCCCUCGACUGAUAUAUUGAUAUUUGCAACCUAUUCUUCAAAAGUAAUUCUUUAACUUGAUGCAUAUUCAUGAUCAUUCCACCCCGAUGAAAUCCACCAAAGAUGCAUGAUAUUGUUAUCCUUCACUUUCAUUGUUCGUAACAUGGGCUGUUUGCGAGUACAUUCAACGUACUCAUUGGCUUGCCACUGGUUAUGUUAUUGUCCAGACAUGGUACGUCUUCGGAGAUGCCCCUACGACCUAGGAUGCUUCGGAGUCAGAAUGCCUGUCGGUGUAGGCUUGAUGGCAUGGGCACCCGCUUAGCCCCUAUGAUUUCUGCUACUAGUUGUAUCAUAAUGAUUUGGACUUAGGCCCUGCCUUGUGAACUUGACCAUUCGGUCAUGUGUUGUAAUAAUCGAUACUUGGAUGGAAGACUCUUUUAUUUGGUAUCUCUGUUCGAUGAGCAUUGAUCUUUGGGAUAACUGAGCACGGCGAUCUUGACCCGUAAGUCGGGGUCCCCACAGAGCUGGUAUCAGAGCCAUCCUGACUAUAGGGAGCCUUAGGUAGCAUGGACGAAAGCCGAGAUGACUAGUGCACAUAGACCUUAACGUGAGAUUCUGCACCCACUGAAAACUUUCUAACUCUCUCCUCUACAUCUUGUAGAUGGCCGCCGUACCUGAGAUGCUUCUGGAGACAGGCUUUCCUCUUCUUUUGAGUGAUAGCCUCGAGAAGUGUCAAGCACGCCGCACGCCCAUCUUCCUCUACCACGAGAACUGGGUCAACGCCGACACUAACGAAUAUCACGUGGACGUGAUAGUGAAGGCUAAUGACUCCCCGACUAGUUGGUUCUUUGAAGGUCCACAGAUGGAAGAUCUAAUGUUGGCAGUGGAGACCGCAGCACGAGAGGGGCUCGUGCGACUCCGCGACAUCCUUCCCGAGAUGGCUGUUGAGCCAUCUACUCGUCACCUAACUUUUGUUAAGGAUGGGGUAGACGGGAGUUGGACACUCAACCCAUCUUCCAAGGACGGGAUGCCACUGAGGUUUCAGACCUACUUUAGUCUCUCCUCCGACACUUUGACACACCUUUUGAUCAAGGAGUCAACUAGGAUCUGCCAAGAGCGGCACCAAGUAAAGGAUCUGCUUCACACGGAGAAGAUGAAGAACCGCAUGGUGAAGAAGGAAGGAGCACCCAAAGGACCACCAGGUUUUGCUUUCCGAGGAGGAAUACCACCGCUUCAGGCCACUCCUCUACAGAGUCAUCACUUGACUGUGGAAGAGUACACCGAACUCUUCGCUACCUCGCCAACCAAGAGACACCGUGAUGGUGCGCUUCCUUCUACUACUCCUUCAAAGAAGGGAAUCACUCAUGAAGAUGAAGAUGAAGAUGAAGGUGAAGACGAAGAUCUCGCAAAACCCGCUCAUGACACCGCGCAGUCGGCCGCUUAGCUUUAGCAGCAUAGGCAAUUAGGAUGUACCCCCGAGCGUAUGAGUUCCUGUAUCGGUUUGUAUGAACCAUGAGUAUUGUGUAAGCCUGUUGGAUGCAAGUCGCAUUCUGGCUUAGGCAGCUUGUGAGCGAGUACAUCGCUUGUUUUUAAUAUAAUGUAGUAGCUCUUUUCAAAACCAUUGGCUUAAUUUUUUUACACUAGCACAACACCAGACCCCCUCUUUACUAGAGCAUCAUCCCUUAUGAUUUCAGCCAGUUUGGCAAAUUGACCUCUCUACUCCCAAGACAGGAUGGUGAAUGCAACUCGCAACAGCACCUUCGGCAACCCCGGCUCUAACUCUUCAGGUCAGCAGCAGGGAACCGUAGGGGAAGCUCAAGCUGGAGAUCACCACGAGCAGCAAGACGAUGUUCCGGGGCCUCCUCCUAAAAGCUUGACCAUGGAUCAAUCCCUUCAAGCUCUUCGAGAGGAGCGUCAAGCCAACAAUUCCGCUAUUCAGCAGCUGGCUCAAACCUUGGUGAACAACCCACCGCAGAACGGGAAUGGCAAUGGUCUCUCAACUCCCUAUGAGUUCAUGCGAACUACGCCACCCAUAUUCACGGAGACGACUGAACCAUUGGAUGCCGAUGACUUGAUCUGUACUAUCGAAGACCUCCUCGCGCUGGUCAAGUGCACUGAUGAUCGUGAGAAAGUUCUCUAUGCUUCUCACUGUCUCGGAGGCACAGCCAGAGCUUGGUGGGAUGGAUUUCAGAUCAUGCGAGCAGGGCAAGUAAUCACUUGGGCUGUGUUCAAAGAUGGAUUCUGCGCUGCUCACAUUCCUCCUGGAAUGAUGACCAUUAAGAAGCGGGAAUUUCGAGCCUUAAGGCAAGGCACUGGAUCCGUCAAGGAAUAUUUGCAGAAGUGCAACCUCCUGUAAAGAUUCGCGCCUGAGGACGUCAACACUGAAGCCGCCAAAGUGGAACGCUUUAUGGAACGACUAAAACAGCACUCCACUAUCAGCUGGUUGUUUGCGAAUGCCGGACCUUCAGCAAUCUGGUUAAUAAGGCCCUUAUGUUGGAAGACAAGCGUCGUGCCAUGGACGACACCCGUAAUCACAAGCUAAUGGGUAGUGGAGGACCAGGUAACACGAAGCCACGAACAUGGCAGCCAGCUCCAGCAAGACCCAACUAUCAGCAGCAGUACAAGUAUCCAACAUUUUGCCAGAACUACCAGCCUCAGCAGCAAGUCAACACCAAGCGAGCAAGCAAUCCGUCGAACAACAGUGGAAUCAAGACCAAUCUUCCAGUGCAAGUUACCUGUUUCGGAUGUGGACAAACAUGGCACUAUUCCAGGCAGUGCCCCAACAAGAAACCCGAUGCUCAGCGCCCCAAUGCGCAAAAUCCAGGCCAAGGAGCACCAGACAGGAAUCACGCUCCCCGCAAUCAGCAGUAUCACAUCAAGCGGUGGAUUAAUCAUAUUUCCGCGGAAGAGGCACAAGAAGACCCGGACUGCAUUCUGGGUACGUUCCUCGUCAACUCUACCCCAGCAACAGUGUUGUUUGAUUGUGGUGCUUUACAUUCUUUUGUUACGCAAAAGUUUGCGGAAAAAUGUGGUAUAGAACCUACCUUUCUUCAUGGGCAUAUGGCAAUUCAAACCCCCGGAGCAGUUUUGAGGACCAAUCUAGGGUGUAGGAAGAUCGGGAUAGUUAUCAAUGGGACGAGCUUCUCAGCUGAUCUCAUUGUGCUUAAGUCGCAAGGCCUAGAAGUAAUUCUCGGCAUGGAUUGGUUGGUCAAGCAUCAUAGUAUCUUGGACUGUGCUAACUGGGCCAUUACCAUGACAAGUGACCAAGUUGUCAAAGUCAAGUAUGUCUCUGAGCCAGUACCCGCUCAAGUACCACGGGUUAACAGCCUGUCAGAGGAAGAACUCGAUCGAGUGCCAAUAGUGUGUGAAUAAUCAGACAUCUUUCCUGAUGAGCUACCAGGGAUGCCUCCUGACUGAGACAUCGACUUCAUCAAUGAACUCAUGCCCGGAUCAAGGCCUAUUUAUAAGAAGCCUUACAGGAUGGGAUCCGAAGAGCUAGCGAAGUUGAAGAAGCAACUGGAUGAGCAACUCAGGAAAGGAUUUAUUCGUCCAAGUGCGUGACCUUGGGGAUCACCUGUUCUUUUCGUGUCGAAGAAGGAUGGGACUAUCCGACUCUGCGUCGAUUACCGUUCUCUCAAUGAGGUCACAAUUAAGAACAAGUUCCCACUCCCCAACAUUGAAUACUUAUUCAAUCAGCUAAAUGGAGCUAAGGUAUUCUCCGAGAUCGACCUCCGAUCUGGAUAUUACCAACUGAAGAUCCGACCUGAGGACAUACCCAAGACUGCGUUCAUGACCCGGAACGGUCUGUAUGAAUGCACUGUCAUGUGUUUUGGGUUGACUAAUGCCACAACUUACUUCGUGUACCUCAUGAAUAAGGUCUUCAUGGAAUACGUGGACAAGUUUGUCGUCGUAUUCAUUGAUGACAUAUUAAUCUUUUCCAUGUCCGAAGAAGAGCAUGAGAAACACUUAAGGUUAGUAUUCGUGAAGCUUCGAGAGCACCAACUUUUUGCUAAGUUCAGCAAAUGCCAAUUUUGGUUGAACGAAGUUGGAUUCUUGGGCCAUACCAUGACAUCAAGUGGAUUGGCAGUUGAUCCCUCCAAGAUUACUACGGUAACCAACUGUGAAUCGCCAAUUGCUGUGAAGGAAGUCAGGAGCUUCCUCGGACUCGUGGGAUAUUACCGCAAGUUCGUAGAAGGAUUCUCCCGCAUCGCUCGACCCAUGACUCAGCUCUUGAAGAAAGUCAAGACGUUCGAAUGGACGCUAGAGUGUGAAUCCAGCUUCCAAGAAUAGAAGAAGAGAUUAACCACCGCCCCGGUAUUGGCCACUCCAGAUAUCAGCAAGGAGUUUGUGAUAUAUUGUGAUGCCUCGAGGACCGGACUCAGUGGGGUUCUAAUGCAGGAUGGCAGACUCGUGUUGUAUCUGUCACGACAACUGCGCCCGCAUGAGGAGAACUAUGCCACCCAUGAUCUCGAGUUGGCAGUUGGAGUGCAUACCCUGAAAACAUGGCGACAUUACCUUCUGGGGAAGCGAUGUGAAAUAUACACUGACCACAAAAGUCUGAAGUAUAUCUUCACUCAAAGGGAAUUGAAUAUGAGGCAACGAAGAUGGUUGGAGUUAAUCAAAGACUACAACCUCAGCAUUCAAUAUCACCCCGGUAAGGCCAAUGUAGUGGCCAAUGCCUUAAGCCGAAAGACCAACACCUUGAACGUCAUGCUAAAGGAAAGGCAACCCGCCUUAUAUGAAGAAUUAGAGAACUUCGGGUUGGAAUUAGUAGAAUCAAGAUUCCUAGAUAACCUCGAAGUCAAACCAACGCUGGUGGAUGACAUCAAGGAGGCCCAGAAGGGUCAUAAGAGAAUUGAAGGCAUCAGGAAGAAGAUUCAAGAAGGCAAGGCCCCAGGAUUCUCGGUGGAUGAACAAGGAGUAGUGUGGUUUGGGCAACGUUUAUGUGUACCCAACAAGGCUAAACUCAAGGAUUUGAUCCUAUAGGAAGCACAUGAUACACCCUACUCUAUUCACCCUGGUGGUACCAAGAUGUAUCAUGAUCUCCGAGAAAGAUUCUGGUGGCAUGGCAUGAAGAGGGAAAUAGCGUCCUAUGUUUCCAAGUGCGACGUGUGCCAACAAGUCAAGGCUGAGCAUCAGCGACCUGCAGGACUGCUACAACCUCUCAAAGUGCCAGAAUGGAAGUGGGACAAUAUAGGCAUGGACUUUGUUACCGGCUUACCAAGGUCUAGGAGAGGCCAUGACUCUAUAUGGGUUACUGUCGACCAUUUGACCAAAGUGGCCCAUUUCAUUCCUGUCAACACCACAUAUGAUGGGAACAAGUUGGCUAGUCUCUAUAUUGAGUGUAUUGUAAGCCUUCAUGGAGUUCCCAAGGAGAUUGUAUCUGACCGAGGCACACAGUUCACCUCAAGAUUUUGGAAAAAGUUCCAAGAAGCCAUCAGAACCAAGCUCUCUUUGAGCACCGCUUUCCACCCACAAACGGGUGGACAAACGGAAAGAGUGAAUCAGAUACUCGAAGGUAUGCUCCACGCAUGAGUCUUGGCGCAUGGAGCCAAAUGGGAAGAGUGUCUUCCGUUCGCUGAGUUUUCAUACAACAACGGCUACCAGUCCAGUCUCCAAAUGGCCCCGUUCGAAGUGUUGUACAGACCAAAGUGCCGCACACCGCUCAAUUGGUCCGAAACCGGAGGAGGACUGAUUUUCGGGCCGGAAGUUUUGCAUAAGGCAGAAGAGAAGGUGCAACUGGUCUGAGAGAAUCUAAAAGCAACCAAGUCACGACAAAAUAGUUAUGUGGAUUCUCGCCGCAGGGAUGUGGAGUUCAUUCCCCGAGACCUAGUGUACCUCCGUGUCACACCUCUCAAGGGAACAAGUGUUUCCACGGGGGGGGGGGGGGGGGCUCCAAGGUUCAUUGGACCUUUUAAGAUCACGACAAGGCGUGGAGAAGUUGCUUAUCAGUUGGAGCUACCUCCGGAACUUUUGGGUGUAAACAACAUCUUCCACGUGUCACAACUUCGGAAGUGUCUUCAAGCGCCAAAUCGUCCUGAUCUUUAGAAGGACAUUGAACACCAGGCCAUUGACCUUCAGCCUGAUCUCACCUACCACGAGAAGUCGGUCCGCAUUUUGGAUGAAGUUGAGCGUUGCACCAGAAGCCGCACCAUCAAGUAUUUCAAGGUUCAGUGGAGCAACCACACCGAAGCCGAAGCAACAUGGGAGUGUGAAGACUAUCUCCGAUCUAAGUUUCUGGACAUUUUUAGCACCUAGCUUAGGAAUCUCGGGGGCGAGAUUCUUGUAAGGGGGAUAGGUCUGUCACACCCUGUUUUUACUACCACUUUUGCGUAAUGCAAAAAACUGAUCUUGUUAAAACUUUUUCAAAACUAAUGAUGUGAGGGCCAUGAUUCUCAUUGUAUGCUUGUGUGUUUUAUCAUGUGAUGAAAAACCCCAUUUCAGAAUAUCGAUUUAUUUCCAAAAACCUUUACAUGUUUCUGAUUAAGGUAAAACCCUACUUUGUGUUGCACUACAUGCCUUUGAUGGCAAGAGGUGUUUCUACCCAAAGUUGGUGAUCUGAUUUUAACUUCAUUUUACUGCCUUAAAACCACAAAAUAAUUAUUUUUAGAAUUAUUUUCCUAAUUAAAUUGCAUGUACAUUUGUGAGGCCAGAAUUGGUAUUCAUACUUCGAAUAAUACUUUUCUGCCUUAGAANUUUCUGCCUUAGUAAAAUCUUAUUAAAUUUGGAGAUGAUCACAUGGGCAUAUAUUUCCAUAUAUAUUAUAAUUAUUUGAAUAAAACCCUGGAAGCCAUUUCUAUCUAUUUUGACCUUUUGAAAUAUUUCCAAAGGAAAUAUUCUCAAUAAAAUCCUAGAAAAUUCCAGUAGUAUCCCUAAGCCAUAUUUGCUGUCCACAUAAAGUUUCACCUUGGUCCAGAUAACCCCAAAACCCCUUGUGUCUAGAUUGAAGUUAGAGCAACUCGACAUGGACAGGUUUAUCCAAUGAUGUUGAAACUUUGCAGCAGUGCCAAAUACCUCAAAUUAGGGUUCCACACCAAAACUGGGAUUUGUGGGACUUAGUUUGCCCACACUCUCUUUGGAAGGGACAGAUCUGGUCAAAUUGAAGUGUUUUCAAGUUUGCAAAGCUAAACUUGUCCAAAGGAGCUCAAAAUUGGUGAAACCCCGUGUUUUUGCACCAAACCCAAACCUGUUAAGUUGCAGCACGAGUGGUCAGGUGCAACCCCCUCAAACCACUAUCGAGCACCUUCUGACAAAUAGGGAAAAGCCACCUAAACCACAGCUAAACCCAACCCCUUUGCUCCAAACUCAUAGAUUAGGUGGCCAGUAUCCAUAUCUAACACUAGUCAACUAGCCCCUCACUGGUUCAAAGUGGAAAGGCCAAAAACUCCAAUUUAGGCUUCACCUCAAGGCUGACAGCACUAGCAUUUCUUGUCUCCAUUGACCAGCGGAAGCUCCCACGAGACCCAAAUGGCUAGCCAAACUCCCAGCCAGUGCCGGGACAUGCUAGACACAUCCAAAGUGCCUCAGAGCGCACCAGCAUGCUGUGGCAUGUCAAAACUGCGCUCUGGGCGCGCUACAGGAAGCCACCAAGGUGGGGGCGACGCUCUCGGCCAGUUCCAACCUCCCACGAGGUGCCCAACCUCUUCCCCGACAACCCCUCUCCGUCGAGCAACCCUCAGGGCUCCUCCUCCCCCGCAUUAGAGCUCAUGCGACGCGUGCCCGCACACACCAGAACCAGCCAAGGUUGCGCGACCACGGAUGCUCGACUCCUCCCUCUCUCCCUCUGAAGCAGAUGGUUGUGGCAGUCCAAAACCAUGUCCUUAGACCGUGGUUUCAACCCCAGCCCCUCUCUGUACCCCCAUGCGCGCCAUGGUGAGUCACCGGCGCUCCCGAAUUGGCUCACCGUCGCGGGCCUAUAAAUAUCCCCCCUCACUCCCGCACCCCUCAGAUAGCUUCACCACGACCACUAGCACCUCCCUAGCCACCCUAGCAAACUAGCACAACCCCGGUGCUCGAGAUGGAUCGAGGCCCCUCCGCCUUGGAGCUCCGGUCGAUCUCCGGCUACACGACGGCUCCUGCGCCCCUCGACCCACCAAACUGAUCCCCUCAACCCAAGGAAUCGUUCCCCCAACUCGCCCGAGCAUUUCUGUGUCUCUAACCACCUCCUCGACCACCUCCCAAAACUCCUCCGCCACGGCCUCCUCGUCCCUGGUGAACUCCUACCUCUGUAAUGUUGUUCCGACCACCAGUAGGUAGGCGACGUCAUGGCGAACCCAUUACAGUCCUUGUUGGGGCCUGAGACCGUCGGCAGCCUCGCCGGCGUGCUCCUCUUCCUCUCUGGCCAAACGUAGGAGACGACCCCGAUAGGUGUGCCUCACCUCUCGGUGGCCCAGUGUCCUCCCCCACGCUGUCCACAGCCACUGACCAUAGGGCCCCGCACGUCAGGUUCAAACCUGACGGUGCGAGCACCUGGGCAGGCUGUCGGCUGGCCUGGGGCCAGCCCAGCUCCAGGACUAGCCAGGCCAGGGGCUUAGCCCAUUUUUCUUUAUUUUCAAAAAUCUGAUUUCAAAGAUUUUUAUAAAAAUAUUUAACGAGUGUAAAAAUAUAAUAUUUCAACUAUUAUUGUUCUAAAAAUAUGUAGUAUUUAAUAAUAUGAUUGGAUGAUUUUUUCUACAACAUUUCUGUUUUACAAUAAUAAAAAGGACUAAAUUGGAAUAGUUUUGCUUUUGUUUUGUUAAUUUUAAAAACGUUCCUUCAAGAGAAUUCGAGGCAAAUAUUUUUCAAAAUGACAACUUAGAUUUAUAAGUAAUAAAUAACAUUUUUUUAAAUGACUUUGUGAUCUGUUUCUAUAUGAGCUAUUUCUUAUUUAUUGUUUUAUCGAUGAUAGAAAAUCCAUGUGACGAGGGAAUCGGAGCGGAAGACCUCGAAGACCCUGGAUACCUAGCUGACCAAGGCAAGCAGCCCUUUGACCAUGACUGAGCAUAUGUUACUUUGCAUGUUAAGAUAGCAAGUAUUUGUUGGAAUUAUGCCCUAGAGGCAAUAAUAAAUGUAGUUAUUAUUAUAAUUCCUGUAUCAAGAUAAUAGUUUAUUAUCCAUGCUAUAAUUGUAUUGAAUGAAGACUCAUUUACAUGUGUGGAUACAUAGACGAAACACCGUCCCUAGCAUGCCUCUAGUUGGCUAGCCAGUUGAUCAAUGAUAGUCAGUGUCUUCUGAUUAUGAACAAGGUGUUGUUGCUUGAUAACUGGGUCACGUCAUUGGGAGAAUCACGUGAUGGACUAGACCCAAACUAAUAGAAGUAGCAUGUUGAUCGUGUCAUUUUGUUGCUACUGUUUUCUGCGUGUCAAGUAUUUAUUCCUAUGACCAUGAGAUCAUAUAACUCACUGACACCGGAGGAAUGCUUUGUGUGUAUCAAACGUUGCAACGUAACUGGGUGACUAUAAAGAUGCUCUACAGGUGUCUCCGAAGGUGUUAGUUGAGUUAGUAUGGAUCAAGACUGGGAUUUGUCACUCCGUGUGACGGAGAGGUAUCUCGGGGCCCACUCGGUAAUACAAGAUCACACACAAGCCUUGCAAGCAAUGUAACUUAGUGUAAGUUGCGGGAUCUUGUAUUACGGAACGAGUAAAGAGACUUACCGGUAAAUGAGAUUGAAAUAGGUAUGCGGAUACUGACGAUCGAAUCUCGGGCAAGUAACAUACCGAAGGACAAAGGGAAUGACAUACGGGAUUAUACGAAUCCUUGGCACUGAGGUUCAAACGAUAAGAUCUUCGUAGAAUAUGUAGGAUCCAAUAUGGGCAUCCAGGUCCCGCUAUUGGAUAUUGACCGAGGAGUCUCUCGGGUCAUGUCUACAUAGUUCUCGAACCCGCAGGGUCUGCACACUUAAGGUUCGACGUUGUUUUAUGCGUAUUUGAGUUAUAUGGUUGGUUACCGAAUGUUGUUCGGAGUCCCGGAUGAGAUCACGGACGUCACGAGGGUUUCCGGAAUGGUCCAGAAACGAAGAUUGAUAUAUAGGAUGACCUCAUUUGAUUACCGGAAGGUUUUCGGAGUUACCGGGAAUGUACCGGGAAUGACGAAUGGGUUCCGGGAGUUCACCGGGGGGGGGGGGGACCCACCCCGGGGAAGCCCAUAGGCAUUUAGGGAGCCACACCAGCCCUUAGUGGGCUGGUGGGACAGCCCACAAGUGCCCAUUGCGCCAAGAGAAGAAAAAUCAAGAGGAAAAAAAAAGGGAAGGAGGUGGGAAGGGAGGGGGACUCCUCCCACCAAACCAAGUCCAACUCGGUUUGGGGGGGGGGAGUCCUCCCCCCCUUGGCUCGGCCGACUCCUUGGGGGGUCCUUGGACCCCAAGGCAAGGCCCCCCUCCCUCCUCCUAUAUAUAUGGAUCUUUUAGGGCAGAUUUGAGACGACUUUCUCACGGCUGCCCGACCACAUACCUCCACGGUUUUUCCUCUAGAUCGCGUUUCUGCGGAGCUCGGGCGGAGCCCUGCUGAGACAAGGUCAUCACCAACCUCCGGAGCGCCGUCACGCUGCCGGAGAACUCUUCUACCUCUCCGUCUCUCUUGCUGGAUCAAGAAGGCCGAGAUCAUCGUCGAGCUGUACGUGUGCUGAACGCGGAGGUGCCGUCCGUUCGGUACUAGAUCGUGGGACUGAUCGCGGGAUUGUUCGCGGGGCGGAUCGAGGGACGUGAGGACGUUCCACUACAUCAACCGCGUUCUCUAACGCUUCUGCUGUACGAUCUACAAGGGUACGUAGAUCACUCAUCCCCUCUCGUAGAUGGACAUCACCAUGAUAGGUCUUCGUGCGCGUAGGAAAAAUUUUGUUUCCCAUGCGACGUUCCCCAACAGUAUUUCCGUUGCAUAUGAUCAUAAGUGCCGGUAAUCAUUUGAUAUGAUUUUACCGAUGGCUCCCCCGGAGCACAUGCAUUGAGCUUGAUCCUACCCCUUGAGGGUCAUGCUAAUGUCAUGUUGACAAGUAAAGUUUGAAGUAGUAUUAUCAUGAGCAUGUUGAUGACAUAAAUCAAAGAGUUUAUGAAAACCCUGUCGGGUGCCACUAAUGCCCGAGGGUGAUGAUGAGUUAGGUGACCACUUUUGGUGAACUGGUGCACCGGGUACUUUGAGUGAAUAUGGUUUCGGAAAUGGGAUUAGAUUUAUGAUGUGUCGACCGUACCAACCUUACAAGUAUGACCACGUUACCCCUUAUGGGCCGGGGCUAUGUUAAUUACUCUGGUCGUUGGUAGCAAAGAGCAACAUUACUAGUGGCGGGAGUGAUGUGUGGUCACUCUCGUGAUGGGGUCGUGCCAGGUAGGCCGACUAUGCCAUUUUUAUGAGUUCCAGUCACACCGUUGGUCCCCGCAUGGUUGGAACUGUCCAGAGUCGGUGCUCGUAAGACGUACAACAUGUGGGCUGGGUACCAAUCGAGUGGACCUCUUUGUCUAGUAUCGUCAGGGGAAAGGCAUUGACCGGGUACUCACCUCGGGUAUGCUAUAUACCGCGAGUCGUGGAUGACACGGAAGUUUCCCGGAUCUCGUGGGUCCAACGUACUACCUCUGCAGAGUGUAAAACUAUUCAAAUAGCCAUGUCCACGGUCAAGGAUAGUUGGGUAAUCCUGCUUAAACUACGUCCAGCUAUCAAUUGUGGUCCUACGUUGGGACGCCAUCGGACUUAAGAAUGAUUGAGGGGUUGAUGUUGCCCACGCUUCAUUGCUAUUGGAGAUGGGGUACCACAGUGACAUCAAUGCCACCCUCACAAGUGCGCAAAUGCCUCCUUUGAGCCCCCAUAACACAUAUUGGUGUGGACUAUUGGUUGUCAUGACGUCGGCGGCGGUAUCAUGAAUACAUGGGUAUCGCCGCACCCAAAGUCCCAUGGUCUAGGUUGACAUAGUGGUUAAUCGAAGGGCUCAUCAUCGGGAACCAUCAAUACACCUUGACGAUUGCAACUCAACAACUUAAAUAAGCUUCUGCGUACAUGUAUGAAGACACUGUGUUUCGGGAUGUUUCCGAGAGGCAACAAAAAUUCAUACUCUAGCCCAUCAUCAUAUUGACGGCCCCCACAGCUCAACAUGCCCCAUGAACCUAGAGACUUGGGUGUGAUAGAUUCACGGUUAAUGGUUUUGGGACAACGACAUGGCAAACAAAGUUUAUGCCUUAUAGUGGGGUGGUGAACCACUACCUCCCGCCUUCUUUCCAGUGGCCUCCUUACUACUUGGGACUUCUUGACUGCUUCUCGAACUCGUGAGAUUUCAAUUUUUUAUUUGCGUCUUGGAUUUUCUUCUUAGACUCUUGGAAAUUUAUUUUGAUUACUCAUGCGGGAUAAUUGAUUGGCCGCGGACUUCGUAUACUUGCUUUGACAUUCAGGUUGAACUUCUUGACGACUUGUCUUUCAGGAUUUAUUGGGGAUCCACCUUGAGAACUUGGAAGGCAACCGUCACCUCCGUGGACUAGGAAAAACCCUCUAGCACUUUAUAUGGAGCUUCUAGUGGCACACCUGAGGGAGUCCGAAACUAAGGGGUCCUCAGGUGGUUGGACAGUUGUUUGUGGGCCGACCUAAUGGGCCACAUUGUUGAAGACCGGACUACAUGAUGAUCUCGUGAACAAGUAGGAAAGCUGUAAAGGUUGUCGUGUCAUCCAAGCUGUGUAGCCUAGAUUAGCGUGUUUACACCUGGCUGAAGUCGGUUGUAUCACUAGUAGAAAACAUGGUUAUAGUUUCGGUUGGUAAGGCCCUUUAGUCCCACUUCACCAAUUAGUUCUAAUAACUUGGGACUAAAGGCCCCCCUUAGUCUUGGUUUUCCACGACCCGGGACUAAUUCCCUUCCACGUGGAUGGCAACGCGUGCUGGGGGCGAGGACCUUUAGUCCCGGUUGAUAACACCAACCGGGACUAAAAGAUUUGGAGAUUUGGGGUUUAUUGUUUAUUUUCGUGUUUAUUUUCCAUUUUUCAUUUAAUUCUUUUUCAUUUCAAACAUAUCUUAUGCUACUACAUACAAUACACGUUAUAUAUGCAUAUAUCAUAGGAUUUCUUGUAGGACACUUCAUAUAUAUCAUAGAAUUUCUCAUAGGACCAUGCAUAUAUAUAUGCACAUAUGCACAAAUAUAUAUAUUUUUGUAUAUACAAUUUCUUCUACAACUUGGAGAUCAACUAUAUGCAUGCAUUAAUUGGUGAAGUGUUAUUCUCCUUUGGGAUCUAUGACGUGCUCAAGCAAAAAUCCCAAAAUAUCCUCUUGAAGUGCUCGUAUGCGUUCCAUUGGUAGGAGUUUAUCCCGCAUCUCGUGCAUCUUUAAAGAGGGAGACCAAUAUGAAUAUAUUAGUUGUGUGUAUAUAUUAGACCAUGAUAAAAAAUUAUGAAUAGUGUUUACGUACCCCAAGAGUUCUUGCAUCUUUGCAACUCCGUUCAGUCAUAAAGGAAAUGUUCUCGCAAACAUAGUAUGCACAUAGAUUAGUCCCGUGUUCCUACCGCAUGUAGAACUUUACAAGAAUAGAAUUCAGUAAGAUAAUAAUCAAGUAUUAUAAUGGUAUUGGAACUAGAACUAAAGAGAUGCCGAACGUAGCUAGUACUACUUAAUUACCUUGGAUGUUGACCAUUGCAACUUUGGUUUCCAUUCACCGCAAAACUUCUUGAUGAACCGUGUACAAACCCUGCCCGACAAAGAAAAAGAAUAAAUGAGUCACUGAUUACUUGAUAUCAGGAAAUGAACUAAAGAGGCCGACAUAGUGCGAUAAUGAUUGAAAUACCUGUCGAGCAUCAACCUCGGGUUCAUGUACUCUUUAGGUUCUUUACUUAGUGAUUCCAGUACAAGAACUUUUCCCUCGUCAACCGUAAUGAUUAGCAGGAUAAAGUUGAAACUGUGUUGUAUAAGAGGGCAUGCAUGCAUAACUCGUCAAGUACUAUACGCACACUUAACAUCGAGUAAGCAAACCAAAGUUUAUAGUACAAGGCAGUAACUGUCACGUGAAGUUGUAAGGAAAUAAUAUUGUUGGUUGGGUAUUUAGUAUCUCCGAAAAAAGGAACAAGUUGUCCUUUAUUUCAUCUUUGUUUCUUAUUAAAUUCUCCUCAUGAAUGGUAUUUGGGUUAAUGAAGCCAAUGCGAAAGAAACCAUCUCUUUUCAUUUCAAACAUCUUCAUUCUGCAUAACACCACACAAAAGAAUAUAGUGAGGAUAGUUAGAGGCAGAUGAACGAGCUGAUGAGAGCUAGAGACUUAAAUUAGAAAAAAUAAUAACUUAUAGAUAAUAGCAACUGACGACAAAUUUGUUGAGUGUGUCUUGAUUGAAUAACUACCAGACUUUUGGAUUUUCAAUCCACAAAUCUUUUCAUUGAAGUAAUGCUCUCUCUUGACUUUCACCAUGAGGCUCUCUCGCCCGAGUUCUGUUUUCCUCAUGUACCAGGUAUGGAAUCUGUACAUUUGCGUUGGUAGCUGCUCGACAAGCUCAGGCAUGACGAGAGGUUGCCCGGUGUCAAAUGUCCAUGUUAUUUUAUACCCUUCCACCGUGGGUAUUUCCUCGUCGCCUAGGAGUUGGUCAAUAGUGACACCGACCUCUCUAGCCAUGUAGGGGAAAGGGUUAGAAAAGUUUUUUGUGGGUGCAGAAAAUCUCAGUGUAAAGACUAGGUGCACUAAUUGUCUCGGCUAUCGUCCAUGCUACCUAAGGCUUCCUAUAGUCAGGAUCGCUCUGAUACCAACUAUGUGGGGACCCCUACUUACUAGUCGAGAUCGCCAAAUGAACGUGCUCAGUGAUCCCAGAGAUCAUUGCUCACCGAACACACAGAUACAGAAUAUAGAGAGUCUUACAUCCAAGUACCAAAUUAUUACAUCACGUGACCGAGUGGUCAAGUUCAUAAGGUAGGGCCUAUAACGCCAAAUAAAACAGAUACAACUAGUAGCGGAAAUCGUAGGUCUAAGCGGGUGCCCAUGCCAUCGGCCUACACCAACAGCCCUUGUGAUUGGGAAGCGUCAUAGUUCGUAGGGCCGUUUCCGAAGAUGCACUCUUCUCGAAACUCCGGUCCUUCCAUGUUUGGUCAAUAAUAUAACCAGCGGCAAGCCAAUGAGUACUUUUGAAUGUACCCGCAAACAACCCAUGAUAUGAACAAUGGAAAUGAAAGGAUAACAAGUAAUAUGCAUCUUUGGUGGUUAACAACUUGCCUGUUUCAUAAAUGAUAUGAACAACAUAAGCUAAAUGUUGAUUUGAAGAACAUGUUACAGAUAUCAAUAUAUCUGUCGACGGCUGAACACUCUAGGUUCACCCUUUAUGCCAAGUCACCAAACUUGGUCAUAUCAUCUGUUUCAUAAAACACUAUUUAAUUUGCCAUACACACACACNCACACACACUUAGUUUGUGCGGAAACGACUAGACGUAGUUUAAGAACCAACACCCAACUGUCCUUGACAGUGGACACGGCUAUUCAGAUAGUUUUACACUCUGCAGAGGUAGUACGCUGGACCAACGAGAUCCAGGAAGCUUCCAUGUCAUCCACGACUCGCGGUAUAUAACAUACCCGAGGUAAGUACCCGAUCAAUGCCUUUCCCCUAACGAUACUAGACAAAUAGGUCCACUCGAUUUGUACCCAGCCCACAUGAUGUACGUAUUAAGAGCAACGACUCUGGACAGUAUCAACCAUGCGGGGACCAACGGUGUGCCUGGAACACGUAAAAACAACAUAGUUGCCAUUCCUGGCACGACCCCCUCACGAGAGUGACCACACAUCACUCCCACCACUAGGAAUGUGGCUCUCUUCUAGCAUCGACUAGAGUAAUCAACAAAGCCCUGUCCCUUAAAGGGGUAACGUGGUCGUACAUGUAAGGUUGGGACGGUCAACACAUCAUAAAUCUAAUCCCAUUUCCGAAACCAUACACACUCAAAAUACACCGGUGCACCACUUCACCAAAAGAGGCCACCUAACUCAUCAUCACCCUUGGGCAUUAGUGGCACCCCAUGGGGUUUUACAAACCUUAGAUCUAUACCAACAUCAUGCUCCUGCUAUUAUUCUUAGCUCUACUUGUCAACAUGAUAAUAGCGUGACCCUCAUAGGUGGUAGGAUCAUGCUCAACAUGCAAGUACUAUGGAGGAGCCAUCUGUAACAUUACUUCAAUGAUUUUCCGGUACUUAGGAUCAUCUGCAAUGGAAAUAUUUGCUACACUAGCAUGCAAUAUAACAUAUGCUCAGACAUGGUCAAAGGGCUGCUUGCCUUGCUCAGCUAGGUAUCCAGGGUAUUCAAGUCCAACUCCUUCGUCACGCGGGUUUUGUAUCGUUGUACUAAAUAAAAAGCAAUAAGUGGCCCACUCCAAAAUAGAUCACAAAGUAACUUUAGAAAUGUUGUUCAAUUCUGAUAAAUCCAUAUUGUUAUUCUAAAAAUAUUUGUCUCCGGUUUUAAUGAAAGAAUAUUUUUAAAAUCAGUUUAACAGAAGCAAAAUUAUUCCGAAUUAACCCUUUUUAUUAUUAUAAAACAGAAUAGUUGUUGCAAAAAUUCAUCCAAUGGUUCUGUUAAAUACUAAACAUUUUUAGAAAAAUAAAAGUGGAAGAAUCAUAUUAUUUCACUCGUUAAAUAUUUUUACAAAAAUCAUUUAAAAUCAAGUUUGGGGGGGGGGUAAAAAGGGCUACAGUCCAUGGCCUGGCUUGACCUGGAACUGGGCCGGCCCACUAGCCAGCCAACCAGCCUGCCCAGGCGCGCGCGCCGUCAGGUUUGAAAUUGACGCGCGGGCCCCUGUGUUCAGUGGCUGCAGGCAGCGAGGGAGAGAGAGAUGAGCCACCGACAGGUGGGGCACACAUGUCGGGGUCAUCUCCUACCUCUGGCCAGAGAGGAGCAGGAGCACGCCGGCGUGGCUACCAAUGUCCUCGGGCCCUAAGGACGACAUGAAUGUGUCCGGCUCGUCGCGGCCUACCUGCUGGUGGUCUAGUCGACGGUGGAGGUGCUCUGGUUGACCCGGACGAGGUAGCCAUGGAGGAGGGGUUUCUGGUGAAGGUGGAGGUAGCAGCUACGGGCACAGAUUUGCUCGGGGAAGAGGGGAGAAAGCUUCCUCGUGUGGAGGGGAUUGCUCUGGUGGGCAGAGGGAUGCGAGAACCGAUGUGUAGCCAUAGAUCGACCGGAGCUCUGAGGCGGAGGGGCCUUGGUCGAUCUCGAGUAUCGGGGCUCUGCUUGCUCAAAGAGGUGGCUAGGGAGGUGAUUGAGGUCACAGCGAGGUGGAGUGAGGGGUUCUGGAGCGAUGGGAGGGGCUAUUUAUAGGCCCGCGAUGGUGAGCCGACUCGGGAGCGUCGAUGAUCCUCCAUGGCGUGCAUGGUGGUGCAGAGAGAGGCUGGGGUCGAAACCACGGUCUCAAGAUGUGGUUUUGGACCUCUAGGACUCACUGCGAGAGAGAGGGAGAGAGGAGAGACGCGCUAUCGUGGCCGCGCUCCUCUGGCGCUUCUUGUGCGCGUGGGCACGCGUCGCACUGGCUCUUAGCGUGGGAAAGGAGGGCCCCUGAGGGUUGCAUGAUGUAGAGGGGCUGUUGGGGGAGAGGAGAGACACCGCGGGGAGGCUGGAAAUGGCUGAUGGAGUCGCCCCCACCUCUUUUGCUGUCUGUGGCACCCAAGAGCGCAGCUUUAGCACGCCAUGGCAUGCUUCCACGCUCUCGGUGCCUUGGACGUGUCUAGCGUGUCCUGGGAGAUGCUUUGCCAUUGGAGUCCCAUGGGAGCCUCGGCUGGUCAAAGAGAGACAAGGAAACAUGUGUUGUCAGCCUUGGACUGAAGCUUAAAUUGGAGAUUUUGGUUUAUCUACUUUGAACCAGAGAGGGGCCACUUGACUGGAGUUAGGCAUUGAUGUCAGCCACCUAAUCUAUGAGUUUGGGAGAAAGGGAUUGUGUUUAGCUAAGGUUUGGAGGGGUUUUACCCAUCUGUCAGAAGGUGCUCGAAAGUGGUUUGGGGUGGUUGCACCCCACCACCGGCAUUGCAACUUAACAGGAUUGGGUUUGGGGCUAAAACAUGGGGCUUCACCAAGUUUGAGCUCCAUUGGACAAGUCUAGCUUUGUAAACAUGAAAACAUCCCUAAAUGACAAGAUAUGUUCCUUCCAAAGAGAGUGUGGGCAAAUCAAGUCCCACAAAUCACAUUUUUGGCAUGGAGUCCUCAUUUGAGGUAUUAGGCACUCCUACAAAGUUUCAGCUCCAUUGGAUAUACUUUGCUAUGUAGAGUUUCUAUAACUUCAUUUUGGACAGAAGGGGUUUUGCACUUAUGUGAUGACCUUAACCACCUUGGAUCAAGGUGAAUUUUUAUAUGGUACCAAAUAUGGCUUAGGGAUACCACUAGAAUUUUCUAGGAAUUUAUUGAGAAUAUUUCCUUUGGAAAUAUUUCAAAAGGUCAAAAGAGACAUAAAAGGUUUUCAGGGUUUUAUUCAAAUAAUAAUAAUAUAAAUAGGGGUUUAAAAUCUUAUGUAUGUAAAAUAUAUGUCCUUGUGAGUAUCUCCAAUUUUUUGUAAGGCAGAAAAGUAUUUAUCCAUAUAGGAUUACCAUUUCUGGCCUCAGAAAUGGACAUGUAAAUAAAAUAGGAAAAUAAUUCAUAAAUUAAUUAUUUUAUGGUUUUGGUGAGCUAGAAUGUUGUUAGAACCAAAUCACCAACUUUGGGUAAGAGCACUCCUUACCAUCAAGGUCUUGUAGUGCAACCCAAAGCAGGGUUUUGAAUUAUGCAAAAAUAAGAAAAAGGGUUUUGAAAGUAAUUAGGUCAUGAGAAAUGUGGUUUUCGAUAUCACAUAAUCAAGCAUACAAGCAUACAAUGACAGUCAUGGCACUCACAACAUUAGUUUUGAAAAAGUUUAAAUAAACCGAGAUUUUUGAAUGACAGAAAAAGUGAUAGUGGAAACAGGGUGUGACACCUCCAUAAGGUACGUAACUAUUUUUCUUCCAUUUGCUUUUCUUCCCUUCGAUUCUCUGAUGCGCUCUAGUUUGGCUUGUCCGGUUUCAUUCCCUUAGUAGGUGCACGUUCGCUUGAGAGACCCAACAUAUUCACCACCGGUCAACCCUAGCCACUAGCACACACCAUGGUUGGUUAUUGGUCUUACCCCGGUGCCGAGACACACAAGUUUGGUUCUUCCUAGCUUCUUCUGCCCUCACUUCGACAACACACGUAGGUGGAGGUUCCUCUCCUUUGAUCACAUGUUCUCUGGAUCGAUCAAUUUCAAGUGCUUGUUUGCUUGUUNUUGAGAUGUGCUGCUAUAGCGAAUUAACAUUUCUAGCCUUUGCUUCUCCACUCCUAACUAUGGUCACCCCUUUAUUGGUUGGAUUUAGCCCACAACUAAUAAUUUGGCCUUGAUUUUAUCUACUAGUGUAGUGACAUGGCUAUUCGAUUCCUCCUAGGCUUGUUUUUGCAUAGUACAUACCACAGUGAUACGUAAAUAAGCUUGCCUCUUUUUAUUAAUGACCAGGUGUCGAAUCCAUAAAAAAAUGUAAACUUUUCUUGUUUUAUUGUACCGACACUUUAGCCAUGGCUGACUAUGACGAUUUAGUACUAUAGGCUAUUCUUUUGUAGCAUUUUGCUAGAACAAGUGUUGUCAUUUUCUUAGAAUAAAUCUUAUUUAUGUCAUGUGCUUUUAGUGUAAGGGUAGUUUUUCUACUCUUACAUGUCCAGUGUUAGCUAUAAAUCAUGUGUAUCUGAAUGACAAAAGGGGACGAUGGUGCCUGCGUUGUCACCUCCAAGUCCAGCUACUUACGGCUUAGCAAACUACCUCUCCUCAGGCGGCUGCCUCAGCUUCGCCGACCAUGAUAAUGCGAGAUGUAAGCAGUUUGGCUGCAACCUUGUCUGUUUCUUGGUUCUGGUGAGUUCCUUGUAUUCCCUCUCUCUGCAUGUUAACCUGAGAUGGUCUGGCCACCCAUCCAAUGAUUUAGUUGUCUUGUUGUUUGUGGUGGUUGUCUUCUACCCCCCAUCUUGUCGUUUAAAUUGGUCUCUUUGUUGCUACUGGAGAAAAAUCAUAUACUGUUGCAAGGCAAAAACACAAAACAUGUUAUCUUCUUAUGUUUUUGUAUGUAGCAAGCUAGGGGUUUUGUACGCUUAAGUUAAGUCUUUUGCCUCUUCAAAUCCAUUGCAGGUCAAGCGGUGCUGACUUUGUUGCUAGAAACAAUUAAACUUCUUAGGUGCCUCUAAGGUCCAUCAUUGCAUGGUUUCUAUUUUUGUUCUUGUAGCCUUUAGGUUAGGUUUUUAUUUGGUAGGCAUAUUACCUUAUUGACAGUGAACUCCAUCCAUUGAUAAAAAAUGGAUGAUAUUCGAGUCCGUCAGGAAUUGUUCUAAGUUAGUUACUAGGGACCUGGAUGUUGUGCAUGACAGAUGGACUUGGAAGCUGUGCAUGAUAGAUCCAUCUCUCAUGCAUGUGAAAUCUAGAGAUGCAUCCUUUUGUUCGUCAUAUACUAGUUUAAAUGUGGAGUACAACCUAAAGCCGCUCAACAUCAAACUCUUUUGUUUCAAGAAACCAAUAGAUGUGCAUCUGCACAAUAUAUUUGCUCAGCUUAGCGUGGUCUCACGUAAGGCUUGAAGCUACUUAUUUAAGAUAUCAAGGCCUAUGACGGGGGGAUAACCCCGGGGUAGGCUCACUGGCCUGCUCCACUAUGUUCCGGCGUAGAUUGGGGCGAAAUCCUCCUACGGCUCCCCCUGGCCGUUUGCGCAUCCUGUGUCGGCUAGGGGCGCAGUAGUCUACUCUUUGGCCGGAUUGCUAGCUGCAAGCCAGUUGGGCAGCACCUAUUGCAUCAGCUCCUCUGGUGCGACGAAGGCCUUCGCUUAAAGGCGAAGGAACGUCAGCUGGGUACGAUGGAGUGGGAUACGUGUGGCAACAGUUGUGGCGGCUAUACCGCUGACCAGUGUUGGCUGUGCCCCGUCAACCAUGUACAGUGCUCGUCCGCCACAACCCACUCCAUUACCUGGCCCGGUGUGGCUACAGUGGAGGCGGUCGUACCGUUGAUCGGUGAUGGAUUCUGCUGGACGACGGCCUCAGUGCCAUCCGUGCUUCGCGUGAGGGGCACGCACUAAUCCCAUUGGCCAUCCGGCGGGUCCCAAAGCCUGAUGGGACCCUGUAGCCGUUGGGCCCCGCCAGCAACAAGACUCCUCAAUGUUAGGCCCACUGACUAGCCGGAGAGGCUCGCAGUCGGGUCCCCAUCUUGUACUUUAUAGCCAUAUUGUAGGCCCGGGGGUUCGUCUAUAAAACCCCCUGACCGGCCUUCAUGCAGAGGGUCGGUCGAUCUUACACACACGACACUCAUACAAGAGGGGUAGACUGCGGGCCAACUGCCCUUCUUCCUCCUCCGUCGAACAGCUCCAGGAGCAUCUUGUAGCUCCACUGGUUGAUUAAGCAUUCCGUCAGGACUAGGGGUGUUACCUCCCACGAAGGGCCCCGAACCUGGGUACAUCAUGUGUCUUAUAUCGCUAGUUACCAAUCCCGUUCCCGAAGCCCGUCGUUGACCAUUCGGCCCCAACCACUCUCGAUAAGCCUAACCAUGGCAUCUGUCAUGAGAAAACAAUGAAAGUUGGCGCCCAUUAUGGGGUCGUCCAAGGCACCGGUCGGAGUUACGCUUCCGGCGUGACCCUUCGCCAACUCCACCAGAGGCAUCGCCUGUGGACCGAUAAGCACGCCUGUGGAGCCUGCCCCCAUAGAUACCUUCACAGUGUUGAUCGUCGGCUCCACCUGCCCCGCAAGUUUAGCCAUCGAGCCCCUCGGCAAGCCGCGCUGCGACGGCCUCGCUCUGACCGAGCCCCUCAGCAAGCCAUACUGCCACGACGUCGUUGCUGACGUCGAUCACCUCUGUGCCCUCUUAGGAAACCGAAACCUUGACGAUGGACCCCGCCACCUGGGCGAGGAAGUCGACAUCGAUUCACUCUUCACACUCUUCGGCAAGUAUGGCAGCUAUGUACUCGACUGCAGCGACCCACCAGCAUUAGCUGGGGUCUUCUGUCCUAUGCGAUGCCGCCGUCUCCUUUCUCAUACGGAGGUGAUGGUCACUCGAUCCAGCACCAGCUCGGGUCGUGUUAGGGUUCCGCCGAACGCGGCUACGACCCGUUCGGGCCCUUCUGACCCACUUUGCGCUACCCUCGAGGGGUUGCAAACGCCCAUCGCACCAACUGCCAAUCCCGCGUCGGCUAGAGAGGGGUUGGAGGAGGCUCACAAACAACUGUUAGUAGAGGGCUCCGCCCUCACAGCUUCGAAGUGCCAGAUGGAGGUUGCGCAGCACGAGUACAACCCCGCUUAAGGCUUCACGUGGGUCGCCGAUGGACCUAGCAGGAGUGGUGAGGUUCAAGGUCGUGGUCGGGUUGUUGCCGAUAUCCUAGGCAACAAGCUUUCUGUUUACGACACCCCCGCAUCUAUAAUUUUUGAUGGUUCCAUGCUAUUAUCUUGUCAACUUUGGAUGUUUUGUAUGCACGAACAUGCUAUUUUAUAUCUUUUUUGGGACUAACCUAUUAACUCAGUGCCAAGUGCCAGUUUCUGUUUUUCCGUGUUUUUGACCUUUUUCAAAGAAGAAUAUUAAACGGAGUCCAAACGGAAUAAAACCCGCGGAAUGAUUUCUUUCCAUAACAGAAGAUACGCAGGGGACUUGAGAACCAAGGCAAAGCACCCCCGGGGGAGGUCACAAGCCCAUAGCCGCGACCUGGUGGGCGCCUAGCACGCUUGUGGGCCCCCCGUGGCUCCAUUGCCCUACUUCUUCAGCCUAUAAAUUCUUUAAAAAUCCAAAACCACCAGAGAGAGCCACGAAAAUAAUUUUCCGCCGCCGCAAGCUUCUGUAUCUGCAAGAUCCCAUCUGGGGACUGUUCUGGUGCCCUUCCGGAGGAGGGGAUUCGGAAAUAGAGGGCUUCUUUGUCAACACCAUUGCCUCUCCGAUGAUGCGUGAGUAGUUCUCCACAGACCUUCGGGUCCAUAGCUAGUAGCUAGAUGGCUUAUUCUCUCUCUUGGAUCUUGAAUACAUAGUUCUCCAUAAUCUUCAUGGAGAUCUAUCCGAUAUAACCUUCUUUUGCGGUGUGUUUGUCGAGAUCCGAUGAAUUGUGUAUUUAUGAUCAGAUUAUCUAUGAAUAUUAUUUGAGUCUCCUCUGAUCUCUUAUAUGCAUGAUUUCGUAUCCUUGUAAUUCUCUUCGAGUUGUGGGUUUCGUUUGGCCAACUAGAUCUAUAAUUCUUGCAAUAGGAGAAGUGCUUAGUUUUGGGUUCAUAUCAUCCGUGUCCUCACCUAGUGACAGAAGGGGUAGCGAGGCACGCAUCGUGUUGUUGCCAUCAAGGGUAAAAAGAUGGUGUUUAUAUCUAUUGCAUUAAUUUAUCCCUCUAAAUCAUGUCAUCUUGCUUAAGGCGUUACUCUGUUCGUUAUGAACACAAUGCACUAGAUGCAUGCUGGAUAGCGGUUGAUGUGUGGAGUAAUAGUAGUAGAUGCAGACAGUAUCAGUCUACUUGUCUCGGACGUGAUGCCUAUAUGUAUGAUCAUUGCCUUAGAUAUCAUCAUGACAUUGCGCGAUUCUAUGAAUUGCUCGACAGUAAUUCGUUCACCCACCGUAAUACUUGCUAUCAUGAGAGAAGCCUCUAGUGAACACUAUGGCACCCGGGUCUACUUCACACCAUAUUUUCAGAUCUACACUUUUACUUUGUCCACUACAGGAAUCGGGCAUUUUGCCGUCAUGACUCUACAGAAGGCAAAGAGGUUGUUACGGACGGCAAAAAUAUUGCCGUAAGCCCAUGACGGCAAAAAAUGUCGUCAACCCAUGUGCCCGCAUAGCGUAUCUUUGUCGUCAGCUGCUGGUAGAGCAGAUGGCAAAAUGUUUGUCGUCAGUGGAAUUAUGUUGCCGUCAGCUUCUUUGGUAGACGGCAAAAAAAUGGUCAGAAGACGGAACGGCCUAGCUAACGGACGACGUUAGCCCUUUUUGCCGUCUUCCUCACCCGUACAUGACAGCAAAAUAUGGCAUUUUUUUGCCGUCUUCCUAACCUAUACAAGACAGAAAAAUAUGUCAUAUUUUGUGCCGUUUGUCUAAGCUGUAGAUGAUAGCAAAAUAUGGUCUAUUUUUUGCCGUCUUCCUAGCCUAUACAUGACAGCAAAAUAUGGUCUAUUGUUUGCCGUCUUCCUAGCCUGUACAUGACAGCAAAAUAUGACAUUUUGUUUGCUGUCAUGAACAUGACAGCAAAGAGCAUAAAUAGACAAUUUAUAUAACAUAAUCCAUACAACAUAUAUAUAUAUAACAUAAUCCAUACAGCAUAUAUAUAUAACAUAAUCCAUACAGCACAUAUAUAUAACAUAAUCCAUACAGCAUAUAUACAACAUAAUCCAUACAUCAUAUAUACAUAUAACAUAAUCCAUACAUCAUAUAUAUAACAUUCAUAAUCCAUACAACAUAUAUAUAACAUCCUUAAUCCAUACAUCAUAUAUAUAACAUCCAUUGUCCAUACAUCAUAUAUAUAACAUCCUUAAUCCAUACAUCAUAUAACACAUCCAUAAUCCAUACAUCAUAUAUAUAACAUCCAUAAUCCAUACAUCAUAUAUAUAACAUAAUCCAUACAGCAUAUAUACAACAUAAUCCAUACAACAUAUAUAUAUAUAACAUAAUCCAUACAGCAUAUAUAUAUAACAUAAUCCAUACAGCACAUAUAUAUAACAUAAUCCAUACAGCAUAUAUACAACAUAAUCCAUACAUCAUAUAUACAUAUAACAUAAUCCAUACAUCAUAUAUAUAACAUUCAUAAUCCAUACAACAUAUAUAUAACAUCCUUAAUCCAUACAUCAUAUAUAUAACAUCCAUUGUCCAUACAUCAUAUAUAUAACAUCCUUAAUCCAUACAUCAUAUAACACAUCCAUAAUCCAUACAUCAUAUAUAUAACAUCCAUAAUCCAUACAUCAUAUAUAUAACAUAAUCCAUACAGCAUAUAUACAACAUAAUCCAUACAACAUAUAUAUAUAUAACAUAAUCCAUACAGCAUAUAUAUAUAACAUAAUCCAUACAGCACAUAUAUAUAACAUAAUCCAUACAGCAUAUAUACAACAUAAUCCAUACAUCAUAUAUACAUAUAACAUAAUCCAUACAUCAUAUAUAUAACAUUCAUAAUCCAUACAACAUAUAUAUAACAUCCUUAAUCCAUACAUCAUAUAUAUAACAUCCAUUGUCCAUACAUCAUAUAUAUAACAUCCUUAAUCCAUACAUCAUAUAACACAUCCAUAAUCCAUACAUCAUAUAUAUAACAUCCAUAAUCCAUACAUCAUAUAUAUAAUCCAUGUCAUAAUAUUUGGCAUUACUACAUAAAAUUUGGCAUUACGAUAAAUGUCUUGAUGUCUCGUAGUCCAAAGAACAUCCGUAUGACAACCUACAAUAUGAAGUCAUGCACAUAUGUCAGAUUUUGGCACACAAUAAAUUAAGGUUAUCUAUUUGUUCGGAACACAAUAAAAUUUGAGGAACACAUAGAAAUUCUCCAAGCAGGGAGACUCACAAAUAAAAAACAUAACUCGCAGCUACAUUCUGAUCAGACAUGUUUCAUUACAAGUAGGAAUAGAGUAAGAUCAUAGUAUAAAUAUAAAUGAUUUCUAAAUAAAGAUGGUGUAUUGUUUGAGUGCUAACAUACUCGCUGUACAUCCUAUUGUGUCGCAUAUACAACUUUGUAUAUAACCAUCAUGACAAGGAGAAAUGUACAAACAGAGUAGCAGCAACAAGUUCUAAGUUUCGGGAAAAAUGCAUGUUGUCUCUCUCCUAAUUUAGAGAUGUGCUCCACCAUAUUUUUGAAUUAACCCUCACAUACAUACUAGAGGAAGUCCCCUCAAGAUAUUUUCUUACAAAUUUUAAAGAUCCUAGGAAAUCAGUAGAUUGAAAUUCAGACUAUACAAAGCAUAGUCCAUGUAUACAAGAAUGACAACAUGAUAGUAUGUAAUAUAGCAGUAGAAAUUUAACAUGAUGCCAGUUUCACAUUUUUAGUGACAGAUUAAUAUAUUUCACACAAGGAAACACAACGGCGUAGGUUGACAUAGUACAUCGAAAUGACACUUAAUCCCCUGCACAUAUACAUCCAAAUACAGAUCAUGGUAUAUAUGCAUCAGUAAAAACUCAAGACAUAGGUAUUGUUCAGUUCCAUUUAUGUACUUGGAACCUACGUCCUGACUACCUCUCAAACAUAAUGAAAAUAAUAAAUGAAACUACAAACCGAACUGAACUCUUGUGAAGCUGACUGGAUAUGUGCUAAGUCAGAUAGUCCACCCAGCAAUCGAAAUGAAUAUAUCACUUAGUCACUUAGUCAAACAUAAUGGUAGUGGAGCACUAGGUAGUCGUGAAUGUUGGCAAGAGGAAAUAGCCACUCCACGCCAUCAAUAAUUGGUUUGAAAAGUAAAUAAUAAUUAAACAUACUAAUUUUGUUAUUAAUGUCGUGCAUGUUACACACACGCCAUCUGUAUGCAAGAUAUUGAUGGCCGGUCAAUAUGUUACAUUCUCAAAUAGAAAUUCUUCGCUACACAUGUUACCAGUAUUUUAAUGCUUUCUCCUUUAUUAAUAUUAGGGAUAGAUAUUCAUGUUUAUCAUAUAUGAGAAAAACAAUGACAUGAUAUCAACAAUUAGAGCAUAUUAACAAUUCUGCUAUGUCAUUCUAUGGGUUCAAAUGGGUCAAAUACAUAGCUUCAAGUGGUCUCGUAAUCAUGAAGAUCUCAAGUGGUCUCUACUUGUAAAUGAUAUAUGGAGGCACUAACCAUAGCAGAUCUCAAAGAUGCGGAGAACCAUCAAGGUUACUGCCAGGAGCAUGAGCAUAUGAAGAUCCAGCAUUAUUCGAUCCAUUGGUCGAUGGAUGAUGCAUGAAGUAUUACAUGGUUAGAAUGACACUCGGACUAAGAAAUGCAAUAAUGAUCCUUGAAAAUAUUUUAGUUAACUAACCGUAGGACGCGGAGUAAGGGCAGAAAAAUGAUAAGCGGGCUUACCAUUCUGGGUACAAUAAGCCUUCAAAUUAUGUUAAGAGCGGUGAAGGUUAAGCACCGAUAGUAAAAUACUAGAUGUGUUGGCUAUUACGGAAUUGUGCUUGGCUAUUAAGGAACUAAUCGUAAACAACUGAAAGUUUUGAGUAUGUUGUGCCCACACCGCCUGCUGCGUCCUCUCAUCAAUCAGUUGGCUCUCCUCUGCCCUCUCUGUCGCCCUCUCCGCAGCCGCCCAUUGCCUCUCCACUAUCAACUUCUCCUCGAGUAGGCACUACAGAAUAUGGCAUCACAAUCACAUCUUCAAAUCCAACAUUAUGUAAUAAUUACAAAAAGCAUAUGUAGAAGGACUUGUAUAGAAUACCUCCAUCUCGGCCCUUGCUAGAGUCGCGCGUUCACAUACAAAAGAUUUUGGGAGACCUAGCCGAGCCUUGUGCUAAGCUAGAGUGCGAGUGGAGGACCUAGGGAACAUGGCUCCUGCAAUAGCCUCCUUGCCAUGUUUCUUCCCCUCUCCAGCGAUCAUAACCAACUCUUGGGCAAGGGGCACCGAUGCCACAUCUUAGUCGGGCCGUCUCAACUUUGUUGCUACCUCUCUAACUUCGGUCAGCCGAUUGUAGGCGGUCUAGCUGGCACAUGUUCAAAGGAACAGUUGACACAUGUUGUUUUCGUAACAAAUUUAGUGCCAGGCCAUCUCAAACCUAACUUUUUAAUUGUUCCGAAUCAUCAACUAUCAUGUCUACUAAUUGUGUAAGUACUUUAGAGAAAUACUACACAAUUUGGAAUGUCAUGUCUUCCAAUGUUAAUAUAAGCACCACCAUUUAGAAAAUAAGCACCACCAUUAACGAAUGCCAAACUAUUUGUAUCACAUGAAUUCGGUAGCAUAGGACAUUCACAAGGGAAUAUGAAGAGGAGUGUAUACUUAGUUUCUAUAUUUGUUGAUUCAGGUGUUGGCCAUCAAUUAAAGAUUGCAGAAUACUUGGCAGAAAACCAACAUAAAUGAUGCUGACAUUAUGGUGCCGAUGAAGUGAUUUGUCCAAGCCACAUCAAUAAACAGAAGGUCCGAUGAAGUGGGAUAUUUUUUCAUGUGACAGAUAUUGGUUAUUACCCCGUGUGUUGAAGAUGCAGCUGAAGUGUUGAUCUUUAAAAAUAUACUGACCGGGACCUACAUAAGUUGAUUUCCUAUGGUCACUUUUCCACUGUCCCGGACUCCAACUAUGCAUGCAGGUGUAGAAGUUUUCUUUCCUAUGGUUUUCUUUCCUAUGGUUUGCAACUGCAUUCCUCUCAACAUGCAGGUGUAGAAGAACACCAGUCCUAUGUUUUCCCUUCCAUUGACCUGAAUAGCACCUGAGCAUCGAGGCGAAUGGGGAGGGAUCGUACCCUGAACUGAACAGAACUGGACUGAAUAGAAGGGGAAAUGGGAGGAUCGACCUGCAACGUGAGAAUGGGGAGACCGCAACCCCGACCUGGAUCCUUGGUGGGGCGACCUGUGACCAGCGGUGGGGCGACUAGCAGGAAGGCCCGACCGGCGGUGGGGAAAUCAGCAGGGAGGCCCGACCGGCGACCGACAAUGGAGCGGCCGGAUGGCCUACCCUCCUGCCAUAUCGCACACACCAAUGACGAUGUCGACCGGUGAGGGCAGCGGCGGCAGCCGGGGAGGUCACCGGCGGCGGUUGGGAGACUCGCGGCGACUGGGAGCAGCGGUGGGGAACCCUAGCUGGGGAUUUUUUCACUCGCGAGAGGAGAGGGCCAGGCAGCGACCGGCGGGACGGCGCGAAUUGGCCGGUCUCCUCACUCACGGUGGGGCGCGAAGGGAGCGGAGAACGACGGCGGCGGCCAUUAGGGAGGCCGGCGAUGGCGACCGAGAAGUCCGGUGGCGGUGACAAGGGAGGCCGGCGGUGGUGGGAACCUAGCCAGCUGUAUGCGCGAGAGGAUUAGGUCACGAGAGGUGAGGUGCGGGGAGCAGUUUUCGAUCUGGGCCGGGGUUGCUGGUUUUUUUUAUUUUUUUCAGUCGUUGCCGUCUUCGAAGUAGAGAAAGAGAUGACAAAGAUUUAUUUGUUGCCGUCAACUGACCCAAAUAAAAGACAACAAAACAUGUGUCCGUUUAGGCCCGUUAAACGCAGACGUGCACAGACUUUUUCCGUUAGGCCGCGCGUAAGAAGACGGCAAAAAUGCUACCUUUGCCGUCACCUGGCUAAAUAGUUGACGGCAAAACUUUAUUUUGCCGUGUAUAUUUUUUUGCCGUCUACUUUAUUUUUAUUUUUAGCGAUAGUAUUUUUUUGCCGUCUACCCAUGACGGCAAGGUAACCGUUUGCUGUCAACUCCGACGAUUUGCUGACGGCAAAGAUUAUACGUGUAGGAAAAAUAGCUGAUUCCUAUAGUGGUUGCACUUUCCACCUUCAGGUCUCACCUUGUAAAUAAUCGUGAAGGGAUUGACAACCCCUUUAUAGCAUUGGGUGCAAGUUUGUUUGUUUUUGCGCAGGUACAUUGGUGCCUUAUCUUGAUACUCCUACCGGAUUGAUACCUUGGUUCUCAAACUGAGGGAAAUACUAACUGCUAUUGUGCUGCAUCACCCUUUCCUCUUCAAGGAAGAACGAACUCAAGCUAAAGAUGUAAUAAGAAAAAUUUCUGGCGUUGUUGCCGGGGAGGAGUAUUCAAAGUGAAGCAUAUACAAGUAACUAUCGCAAACUCAUCUCUUGCAUUUGCAUUAUUUUCCUUUUGCCUCCAAUUUCCCUCUCCCCCACUUCUGAAAAAAAACAAAAUUUACAAAAAUAUUUGCCUUUUGCGUUCGCCCUUUUCUUUCGCUUGCUUUCUCUUCGCUUGUGUGCUUGCUAAGUCACCAUGAUUGAAAACACCAAUUGUGCGACUUCUGGAAUACUAAUAAUAAUGAUUUUAAUAUUACUCCGAUUGCUCCCGCCACUAGUGCGGAAUCAUAUGAAAUCAAUUGUGCCUUGCUGAAUAUUGUUAUGAAAAAGCAAUUUUCCGGCCUUCCUAGUGAAGAUGUCGCAUCCCAUGUUAAUACCUUCAUUGACAUAUGCGAUAUGAAAAAGACGAAAGAUGUGGAUAAUGAUGUGAUUAAAUUGAAGCUAUUUCCGUUCUCAUUACGAGAUCGACCAAAAACUUGGUUUUCAUCUUUACCCAAAAAUAGUAUUGAUUCUUGGAACAAGUGUAAAGAUGCUUAUAUAUCCAAGUAUUUUCCACCGGCUAAGAUUAUCUCUCUCCAUAAUGAUAUCAUGAAUUUUAAGCAACUAGAUCAUGACCAUGUUGCAAAAUCUUGGGAGAGAAUGAAAUUGAUGAUUAGAAAUUGUCUCGCUCAUGGCUUGAGUCUUUGGAUGUUAAUACAAAUCUUCUAUGCUAGUUUGAAUUUUUCUUCUAGAAAUAUCUUGGAUUCCGCCUCCGGUGGAACUUUCAUGGAAAUCACAUUAGGAGAAGCCACAAAAAUCCUAGAUAAUAUCAUGACAAACUAUUCUCAAUGGCACACUGAAAGGUCACCUACUAGUAAAAAGUGCAUGCUAUAGAAGAAAUUAACUCUUUGAGUGCUAAGAUGGAUGAGUUAGUGAAAUUGUUUGCUAGUAAACGUGCUCCUCUAGAUAAAAAUGAUAUGCCUUUGUCUUCCUUGAUUGAGAAUAUAAAUGAAAGAUUGGAUGUUAAUUUUGUUGGUAGGAAUAAUUUUGGCAACAACUGUGCUUAUAGAGGUAACUUUAUUCCUAGGCCUUUUCCUAGUAAUCCCUCUAAUAACUUUGGCAAUUCCUACAACAAUGCUCAUGGAAAUUACAAUAAAUUACCCUCUGAUCUUUAGAGUAAUAUUAAAGAGUUUAUCAACUCACAAAAUAUUUUCAAUGCGUCCAUAGAAGAAAAACUGCUCAAAAUUUAUGACUUGGCUAGGACGGUUGAUAGAAUAUCUCUAGAUAUUGAUGCUUUGAAAUUGAGAUGUCCUCCUCCCAAGAUUAAUAUGGAUGAAACUUUGAAAGCUAUGCGUGUUUCCAUGAAUGAGAGUAAAGAAAGAACCGCCCAAAUUCGUGCUAGACAAGAAUGGCUUUAAAAGGCGUGUUCUCGUGAUGAGAAUCACGAAGAUCUUAAAGUGCUUGGUGUGACUCCUAUUGAAUCCUUGUUUUAUAAUGUCAAUCCUAAUGAUGAUGGGGCUGGAUAUGAAUCCACUUUGGUUGAGAAACGCCCCAAUGAUUUGGAGUCUUUCUAUCUUGAUGCUAAAAGCACUGAAAGUGGAGUAGAGGAUGUAAAAACUUUGAGUAGUGAUGAAAUUACUACUUUGGAUUUCAAGGAAUUCAAUUAUGAUAGUUGCUCUUUGAUUUAAUGUAUUUCCUUAAUGCAAUCCAUGCUAAACUCUCCACAUGCUUAUAGCCAAAACAAGGCCUUUACAGAUUAUAUCGUCGAUGCUAUGAUGAAAUCUCUUGAAGAGAAACUUGAGUUGGAGGUAUCUAUUCCUGGAAAACUAUUAGGGAAUGUUGCAUGGGAAUCAAAAAUUUCCUACGCGCACGAAGACCUAUCAUGGUGAUGUCCAUCUAUGAGAGGAUAUUUGGAUCUACGUACCCUUGUAGAUCGCACAGCAGGAAGCGUUAAGAAACGCGAUUGAUGUAGUGGAACGUCUUCACGUCCCUCGAACCGCCCCACAAACCGUCCCACGAACCGUCCCGCGAUCCGUCCGACGAACCGUCUCGCGAUCCGUUGCAUGAACUGUCUUGCGAUCCGUCUCAUGAUCCGUUCCAAUCUAGUGCCGAACGGACGGCACCUCCGCGUUCAGCACACGUACAGCUCGAUGACGAUCUCCACCUUCUUGAUCUAGCAAGAGGGCGCGGAGAGGUAGAAGAGUUCUCCGACAGCGUGAUGGUGCGCCGGUGGUGGUGAUGAUCUACUCCGACAGGGCUUCGCCUAAGCUCCACAGAAAUAGGAUCUAGAGGAAAAACUGUGUGGUAUAGGGUCGAGAAGCAUGUGGCAAAGUUGUGUCUCAAAAAUCCUCAAUACCUCUAGUAUAUAUAGGAGGGAGGGAGGGGAGGAGGCAGCCUCAAACCCUCAAGGUUUGGCCGAAAUUGGAGGUGGAGGAGUCCUACUCCAAUCCUACUUGGAGUAGGAUUCCAGCUUCCCACUCGAAAACUCUUUCCACCUUGUGUUUUUCCUUCUCAAACCUUAUGGGCCUUAGUGGGAACUUAUUCCAGCCCACUAGGGGCUGGGUUAUCUCUUCCCAUUGCCCAUGAGACCCCUUGAGCCGUGACACCCCUCCCGAUGGUCCCCGGCACCCCUCCCGGCACCCCCGGUACACUACCGAUGAGCGCGAAACUUUUCCGGUGACCACAACAGGACUUCCUAUAUAUCAAUCUUUACCUCCGGACCAUUCCGGAACUCCUCGUGACAUCCUGGAUCUCAUCUGGGACUCCGAUUAACUUUCGGUUACCAACACCUAUAACUCGGCUAUACCGAAACGUCACCGAACCUUAAGUGUGCAGACCCUGCGGGUUCGACAACUCUAUAGACAUGCCCCGAGGUACUCCUCGUUGAAAACCCAACACUUGGACCUGGAUGCCCAUAUUGGAUCCUAUAUAUUCUCCGAAGAUCUUAGCGGUUGAACCUCACUGUCAAGGAUUCAUAUAAUCCCAUAUGUUAUUCCCUUUGUCCUUCGGUAUGUUACUUGCCCGAGAUUUGAUCGUUGGUAUCCGCAUACCAAUUUUAAUCUCAUUACCGGCAAGUCUGUUUACUUGUUCUGUAAUACAAGAUCCCGUGACUUACACUUAGUCACAUUGCUUGCAAGGCUUGUGUGUGUUGUUGUAUUACCGAGUGGGCCCUGAGAUACCUCUCCGUCACACGGAGUGACAAAUCCUAGUCUUGAUCCAUACUAACUCAACGGACACCUUCGGAGAUACCUGUAGAACACCUUUAUAGUCACCAGUUACAUUGUGACGUUUGAUGCACACAAGGUAUUCCUCCGGUGCCAAUGAGUUAUAUGAUCUCAUGGUCAUAGGAACAAAUACUUGACACGCAGAAAACUAUAGCAAUAAAACGACACGAUCAAUAUGCUACGUUCAUAGUUUGGGUCUUGUCCAUCACAUGAUUCUCCUAAUGAUGUGAUCCCGUUAUCAAGUGACAACACUUUUCUAUGGUUAGGAAACCUAGACCAUCUUUGAUCAACGAGCUAGUCAACUAGAGGCUUAGUAGGGACAGUGUGUUGUCUAUGUAUCCACACAUGUAUUUGAGUUUCCAACCAAUACAAUUCUAGCAUGGAUAAUAAAUAGCUAUUAUGAACAAUGAAAUAUAAUAAUAACUAAUUUAUUAUUGCCUCUAGUGCAUAUUUCCGACAGUCUCCCACUAGCACUAGAGUCAAUAAUCUAGUUAACGUCACCAUGUGAUUUCAUUGAAUCCAACACCCAUAUAGUUCUGGGGUCUGAUUACGUCUUUCUCGUGAGAGAGGUUUUAGUCAAUGGUUCUGAAACUUUCAGAUCCGUAUGUUCUUUUCAAAUCUUUAUGUCAUCUUAUAGAUGCUGCUACUACGUGCUAUUCGGAAAUACUUCAAAUAUCUACUCUACUAUACGAAUCUGUUUCACUACUCAUAGUUUAUUCGGAUUAGUGUCCAAGCUUGCGUCGACGUAACCCUUUACGAUGAAUUUUUUAACCACCUCCAUAAUCGAGAAAAAUUCCUUAGUCCAUUAGUUACUAAGUAUAACUUUGACCGAUGUUCGGGGAUUCAAUCCUGGAUCACUCUCUAUACCUCUUAACAGACUUGUGGCAAGGCACAUAUCAGGUGCGGUACACAGCAUGGCAUACUGUAGAGUCUACGGCUAAGGCAUAGGGGACGACCUUCGUCCUUUCUCUUUCUUCUGUCGUGGUUGGGCUUUUGAGUCUUACUCAUAUUCGCACCUUAAAAAACAGCCAAGAACUCCUUCUUUGCUGAUCUAUUUUGAACUCCUUCAAAAACUUGUCAAGGUAUGAAUUUCAUUUGAAAGUUCUAUUUCAGCAUGUUGAUCUAUCUUCAUAUAUCUUGAUGCUUAAUGUUUUAAGUAGCUCUAUCCAGGUCUUCCUUUGAAAAACCCCUUUUAAAGAAUCUUUAUUCUUUACAUAAAUUCUACAUUACUUCUGAUCAACAAUAGGUCAACCACAUAUACUUUAUCAGAAAAAAUAUAGUGCUCCCACUCACUUCUUUGGAAAUACAAGUUUCUCAUAAACCUGUUACAAACCCAAAGCUUUGAUCAUCUCAUCAAAGCGUAUAUUCCAACUCCGAGAUGCUUGCACCAGUCCAUAAAAGGAUCGCUGGUGCUUGCAUACUUCUUAGUAUCCUUAGGAUCGACAAAACCUUCUGAUUGUAUCACAUACAAUCUUUCCUCAAAGAAACCGUCGAGGCAACAAUGUUUUGACAUCCUGUGUGCAAUAAUUCAUAAAUAAUGCAGCAAGUACUAACAGACUUUCAGCAUCGCUACGAGUGAGAAAAUCUCAUCAUAGUCAACUCUUUGACCUUGUCGGAAACAUCUUUGCGACAAGUCGAGCUUUUCUUAAUGGUGACUUAUCACCAACAGCGAUUGUCUUUCUUUUAAAGAUCCAUAUUUACUCAAUAGUGCUACGACCACCAAGUAGUUCUUCCAAAGUCUACACUUUGUUUUCAUACAUAGAUCCUCUCUCGGAUUUCAUGGCCUCCAGCCAUUUGUCGGAAUCCGGGCCCACCAUCGCUUCUACAUAGCUCGUAGCUUCAUUGUUGUUCAACAACAUGACCUCCAAGACAGGGUUACCGUACCACUCUGCAGCAGUACGCAACCCUGUCGACCUACGAGGUUUGUAGUAACUUGAUCCGAAGCUCAAUGAUCACCAUCAUCAGUUUCCACUUCAAUUGGUGUAGGCGCCACAGGAACAUCUUCCUGCACCCUGCUACACACUGGUUGAAGUGAUAGUUCACUAACCUCAUCAAGUUCCACCACCCUCCCACUCAAUUCUUUCGAGAGAAACCUUUCCUCGAGAAAGGACCCGUUUCUAGAAACAAACACUUUGCUUCCAGAUCUGAGAUAGGAGAUGUAUCCAACUAUUUUGGAUAUCCUAUGAAGAUGCAUUUAUCCGCUUUGGGUUUGAGCUUAUCAGACUAAAACUUUUUCACAUAAGCAUCGCAGCCCCAAACUUUAAAGAAAGGACAACUUAGGUUUCUUCAAACCAUAGUCUAUACUGUGUCAUCUCAACGGAAAUACGUGGUGCCCUAUUUAAAGUGAAUGCAGUUGUCUCUAAUGCAUAACCCAUGAACGAUAGUGGCAAUUUGAUAAGAGACAUCAUAGUAUGCAACCUAUCAAAAUAGGGCAUGGCUAUGACGUUCGGACACACCAUCACACUAUGGUGUUCUAGGUGGCAUGUAUUGCAAAACAAUUUCCACAUUCGUUUUAACUGUGUGCCAAAACUCGCAACUCAGAUAUUCAACUCUAUGAUCAUAUCGUAGACAAUUUAUCCUCUUGUCACGAUGAUCAUCACUCCAAAAUAUCUUUGAACUUUUCAAUAUUUCAGACUUGUUAUUCAUCAAGUAAAUACUCUUGUAUCUACACAAAUUGUCAGUGAAGUAAGAACAUAACGAUAUCCACUGCGUGUCUCAGCACGCAUUGGACUGCACACAUCAAAAAUAUAUUACUCCCAACAAGUUAUUCUCUUGUUUAAUGUGGCAUGAUCUGCAUGUCUCAAUUGAUUCAAAAUCAAGUCAGUCCAAACGAUCCAUUUGCAUGGAGUUUCUUCAUACGUUUAUACCAACAGGUAUGGUUUGCAUGUCUCAAACGUUUCAAAAAUGAGUGAGUACAAAGAUCCAUCAGCAUGGAGCUUCUUCAUGCAUUUUACACCAACAUGACUCAAGGGGCAGUGCCACAACUAAGUGGUACUAUCAUUAUUACUUUGUAUCUUUUGGCACCAAUAUUAUGAACAUGUGUAACACUACAAUCGAGAUUCAGUAAACCAUUUCAUUUCGAGUUACUAAUCACUUAGCAACCGAACCAGUAUCCAAUACCCUCGUUCUACUAGGAGUACUAGUAAAGUACACAUCAAUAUCAUGUAUAUCAAAUAUACUUUUGUCGACUUUUGCCAGCCUUCUUAUCUACCAAGUAUCUAGGGUAGCUUCGCCUCAGUGAUCGUUUUCCUCAUAACAGAAGCACUUAGUCUCGUCUUUGGGUUCAAUUUUGGGUUUCUUCAUUAGAGCAGCAACUUGUUUGCCGUUUCAUGAAGUAACCCUUCUAGCCCUUGCCCUUCUUCAAACUAGUGGUUUUACUAACCAUCAACAAUUUACACUCCUUAUUGAUUUCUACUUUCGUAGUGUCAAACAUUGCGAAUAACUCAAGGAGCAUCAUAUCUAUCCUUGAUUUGUUUAUAGUUCAUCAUGAGCAGCUUAGUGGCAGUGACUUUGGAGAACCAUCACUAUCUCAUAUGGAAGAUUAACUCCCACUUGAUUCAAGCGAUUGUUGUACUCAGACAAUCGGAGAACAUGCUCAACGAUUUGAGCUUUUCUCCUUUUACUUUGUAGGCAAAGAAUCUUGUCGGAGGUCUUAUACCUCUCAACAAGGGCAUGAGCAUGAAAUCUCAAUUUCAUCUCUUUGAACAUCUCUUAUGUUCUGCGACGUUUUCAAAACGUCUUGGGCGCCUUGCUUCUAAGCCAGUAAGUAUUGCACACUGAACUAUCAUUUAGUCAUCAAAUAUGUGUAUGUUAGAUGUUCGCAACAUCCACAGACGAUGCACGAGGUGCAGCACACCGAGUAGUGCAUUAAGGACACAAGCCUUCUGCGCAGGAAUGAGGACAAUCCUUAGUUUUACGGACUUAGUCCGCAAAGUUGCUACUAUCAACUUUCAACUAACUUUUCUCUAGGAACAUAUUAAAACAGUAGAGCUAUUGCGCAAGCUACAUUGUAAUUCGCAAAUUCCAUUAGACUAUGUUCAUGAUAAUUAGUUCAAUUAAUCAGAUUACUUAAGAACUCCCACUCAAAAAGUACAUCUCUCUAGUCAUUUGAAUGGUGCAUGAUCCAAAUCCACUAUCUCAAGUCCGAUCAUCACAUGAGUCGAGAAUAUUUUUAGUGGUAAGCAUCUCUAUGCUAAUGAUAUCAACUAUACGAUUCAUGCUUGACGUUUCGGUCUUUUGUGUUCCGAGGCCAUUUCUGCACAUGCUAGGCUCGUCAAGUUUAACCCGAGUGUUCCGCGUGGGCAACUGUUUUGCACCCGUUGUAUGUGAACGUUGAGUCUAUCACACCCGAUCAUCACGUGGUGUCUCGAAACAACAAACUGUAGCAACGGUGCACAGUCGGGGAGAACACAAUUUUGUCUUGAAAUUUUAGUGAGAGAUCACGUCAUAAUGCUACAGUCGUUCUAAGCAAAAUAAGGUGCAUAAAAGGAUUAGCAUCACAUGCAAUUCAUAAGUGACAUGAUAUGGCCAUUAUCACGUGCUUCUUGAUCUCCAUCACCAAAGCACCGACACGAUCUUCUUGUCACCGGCGCCACACCAUGAUCUCCAUCAUCAUGAUCUCCAUCAAUGUGUCGCCAUCGGGGUUGUCGUGCUAAUCAUGCUAUUACUACUAAAGCUACGUCCUAGCAAUAUAGUAAACGCAUCUGGAGACACAAACGUUAGUUUGAAGACAACCCUAUGUCUCCUGUUGGUUGCAUACCAUCGACGUGCAAGUCGAUAUUAACUAUUACAACAUGAUCAUCUCAUACAUCCAAUAUAUCAUAUCACGUCAUUGGCCAUAUCAUAUCACAAGCAUACCCUGCAAAAACAAGUUAUACGUCCUCUAAUUUGUUGUUGCAUGUUUUACGUGCACUACUAGGAAAAGGGCUAUAGAUGAUAUAGAUACUAAUGGCGCACCACACAAGCAGUGCGCCACUACUAUAUAGUAGUGGCGCACCAUGUGAGGUGUGCCAUUAGUGUGGUGGAUACUAAUGGCACACCACACUCUCNNNNNNNNNNNNNNNNNNNNNNNNNNNNNNNNNNNNNNNNNNNNNNNNNNNNNNNNNNNNNNNNNNNNNNNNNNNNNNNNNNNNNNNNNNNNNNNNNNNNNNNNNNNNNNNNNNNNNNNNNNNNNNNNNNNNNNNNNNNNNNNNNNNNNNNNNNNNNNNNNNNNNNNNNNNNNNNNNNNNNNNNNNNNNNNNNNNNNNNNNNNNNNNNNNNNNNNNNNNNNNNNNNNNNNNNNNNNNNNNNNNNNNNNNNNNNNNNNNNNNNNNNNNNNNNNNNNNNNNNNNNNNNNNNNNNNNNNNNNNNNNNNNNNNNNNNNNNNNNNNNNNNNNNNNNNNNNNNNNNNNNNNNNNNNNNNNNNNNNNNNNNNNNNNNNNNNNNNNNNNNNNNNNNNNNNNNNNNNNNNNNNNNNNNNNNNNNNNNNNNNNNNNNNNNNNNNNNNNNNNNNNNNNNNNNNNNNNNNNNNNNNNNNNNNNNNNNNNNNNNNNNNNNNNNNNNNNNNNNNNNNNNNNNNNNNNNNNNNNNNNNNNNNNNNNNNNNNNNNNNNNNNNNNNNNNNNNNNNNNNNNNNNNNNNNNNNNNNNNNNNNNNNNNNNNNNNNNNNNNNNNNNNNNNNNNNNNNNNNNNNNNNNNNNNNNNNNNNNNNNNNNNNNNNNNNNNNNNNNNNNNNNNNNNNNNNNNNNNNNNNNNNNNNNNNNNNNNNNNNNNNNNNNNNNNNNNNNNNNNNNNNNNNNNNNNNNNNNNNNNNNNNNNNNNNNNNNNNNNNNNNNNNNNNNNNNNNNNNNNNNNNNNNNNNNNNNNNNNNNNNNNNNNNNNNNNNNNNNNNNNNNNNNNNNNNNNNNNNNAUCUGUUGGUGGUGCACCACUACUAUUUUUUUUACAGAACUACUAAUGGCGCACCAGAGGAGGUGCGCCACUAGUAACCAGCGUUACUAAUGGCGCAUAUGUAGGUGGUGCGCCAUUAGUAACCUGGGACCAGCUAGAUAUUUUGGACAGCCACCUACCACACUCACUUUCCCCACUUUCAUUCUCUCCACCUCCUGCUCCAAGCUUGUCUCGGGUGCCUCCUCCUCCUCACCUCAUUUGCAUCAUAGACUCACCCAAAUUAAGUGGUUAAUUACCUAUUUUUGAUAGGUAAGUAAGGGGAAAGCUUUUAUGUUGUAGAUCUACUUUUUUCUCCCUCCAACAACGUGCACUUGCACUUUUUAUGGCCUAGCUAGAUCUACGUAUGUUUUCUGUGUUGCAUAUGUUUGUGGUGUUGCAUAUAUGUUUGUGUUUGCUGGUACCGGUAUUGGAAAUGCGAUAGUUGCCAAUAUUUUCCCGGAAUGUUGAUUCAUUUCCGUUUCGGCGAGAAUUUGGCACUAUGCAUUCUUUUUUGUCCUAUUUUUAGGCAAAGUCAUGCCAAUUUUUUUUGGUUCUAAAAUAUCGUUUUGCUCUACCCCGCAGGUGACCAUGGUCCGCACGAUGACCGAAGGCAUCGUGAAUAGGUUUUUGAGCUCCGCGAAGGCCGAAAUGCUUCAAAAGAACGAGACGGAGAUAAGAUGUCCGUGUCGAAGAUGCAAGCUGAAGAGCCUUAUGGACCCGGAUUCUGUAAAGGUGGAGGACCACCUGCUCUUGCGUGGUUUCAUGGAUGGCUAUUGGUGGCAAGGUGAUGAAGAUGAUUAUGAAGUCGUCCAUGGGGGCCGGGAAAGAAAUAGGAAGGGCAUGAGCAAGAAAACCUCGGCGAGGGCGGGCGAGAAGACGAAGAAUCUCCAGGACACAGUCAUCAUGUAGAAGAUGCCGGACAUGAUGAUGAGGAAGAUGCCGGAGCAGACGAAGGGCAUGAUCAUGAAGAUGAAGAUGCCGGAGCAGACGACGAUGGACCAUCGAUGGCCUGGGUGCAGGACCCUCAUAUUCAAGAGCUGCUUCUUAAGCAGACGGAUAACGCAAGAGCUGCCGCCCGAGAGAAAGCCAAGCUGGAUCAACUGGAGAUAGACGCGGUUACUCCAUUGUAUGAAGGAUGCAGGCCCAAGGAUACCUGCCUGAAAGUAACGCUCAUGGCUCUGGAGAUGAAGGUAAAACACAAAAUGACCGACACAUGCUUCGACGAGAACAUGUCAUUCUGGCACGAACGUAUUCCCAAGGGGAACAAGUGCCCGACCAGUUUCGAGGAGGCGAAGAAAAUCUUGUGUCCUCUGGAUUUACCGCACGUGAAAUACCAUGUGUGCAUGAAAAAUUGCAUCAUUUAUCGGGACGAGCACGCGGAGUCUACCAUAUGUCCGGUGUGCGGCGUCAGUCGAUACAAGAAGAGGAAGAAUGCUCCUCGAAAAGUGGUGUGGUACUUUCCGAUAUAUCCUCGUUUGCAACGAUAUUUCGCGGACCCUAAGGUAGAAAAGCUCCUGCGUUGGCACGCGGAUAGGGAGGAGAAAAAAAGAGAAGAUGACGGAAAUGAUCCGGAUAUAAAUAAAAAACACAAGAUGUUGAGUCACCCUAAGGAUGCGAGCCAGUGGCAAGCGUUUAACUACGAAUACAAAGAAUUUGGGGACGAUCCAAGGAACAUCGUGCUGGGCGGAAGCACCGAUGGAGUCAAUCUGUUUGGCAGCCAGAGAAGCAAACUUAGCACCUGGCCUGUGUUUGUCUGGAUGUACAACCUUCCCCCCUGGUUGUGCAUGAAGAGGAAGUACAUUCACAUGAGUAUGCUAAUUGAAGGGCCGAAACAACCAGGGAACGACAUCAAUCUAUAUCUGGGGCUGCUGAAAGAGGAGCUAGACACGCUGUCGAAAACGCCAGCCAAUACGUGGGACGCCGCAGAGAUAGAAUAUUUCCCUAUGAGAGCCGCACUGCUCACGACGGUGCACGACUAUCUCGGUUACGGAUAUGUCGCGGGGCAGGUGGUCCACAGAUUUUCUGGAUGCGUCAGGUGCAUGGAUGACAGAAUGAAUCGCCAGCUAGAUAGAGAUCCCGGGUCUACAAAAACCGUGUUCAUGGGACAUCGAAGGUGGCUUCGCAACGAUGACACAUGGAGAAUCGCAAGGAUCUGUUCGAUGGUGAAACCGAACCCCGAAGACACCCCCUUAUGAGGAGCGGCGAGGAAAUAUACGAGUUGUUGAAAAAUUGGAAAGAGUGCCCACCGUCGGGAAAGGCGCCAAAGCCGGGAAAGUAGCAAAAGGCGCCAGAGCCGCUGCUGAAGGUAUGGAAAACGAGGUCUGUUUUCUGGGACUUGCCGUACUAGAAGAUCCUCCGUGUGCCACACAUCCUUGAUGUCAUGCAUAUCACGAAGAACGUGUGCGAGAGUCUGCUUGGUACCCUGCUCAACAUGCCAGAGAGGACCAAAGAUGGACCGAAAGCAAGGGCAGACUUGAAAUCAAUGGGCAUGAGGGAGGAGCUUCACGCUAAUAAUGAUGAUGAUGAGGCGAAGCAGGACACGGAAAGUCGUCGCUAAGGCAAAAAUUCCAAGAAGACCGGAAAUGACUUCCCUCCCGCGUGCUUCACUCUAAGUCAGGAGGAGAUCGAUCAGUUUUUCACCUCCCUCGUAGGAGUAAAACUUCCUUACGGUUACGAGGGGAAGAUAAGCAGAUACCUAGACUCAGCGAAGAAGAAGUUUAGCGGGAUGAAGUCUCACGACUGUCACGUGCUGAUGACGCAGAUACUUCCAGUUGCAAUCCGUGGGAUCAUGGACGCGCAAGUCCGUGAAACGCUAUUUGGCCUAUGCAACUUUUUCGACGUCAUCUCUCAGAAGUCGGUUGGCGUGAGGCAACUCAGAAGGCUACAGGAAGAGAUCGUGGUGAUACUAUGUGAGCUUGAGAUGUACUUCCCACCCGCAUUCUUCGAUGUUAUGGUGCAUCUGCUGGUCCAUAUCGUGGAGGAUAUCAUCCAACUCGGGCCGACGUUCCUGCACAACAUGAUGCCGUUCGAAAGGAUGAAUGGUGUCAUCAAAGGAUACGUUCGCAACAUGUCACGUCCAGAGUUAAGCAUAGCCAGGGGAUUUCUGACCGAAGAGUGCAUCUCCUACUGCAUGAAUUAUCUAGGCAUCGAGAACCCCGUUGGUCUGCCCGUCAACAGGCACCUCGGUAGGCUCGCAGGAUGGGGUCAUCGUGAGGGUCCCCGCGAAAUGCAUGUCGACUUCGAGGGUCGACUCGCCGACUUUGAAAGAGCAAACCUAGUCGCGCUACAACACAUAGACGUGGUCGAUCCUUGGGUCGUAGAGCACAAAACCUUUAUUGAAAAGACGUACAAUGUCCGAGGCCAAUAGAGGACGGACGGAGAUAUAAUCAAAGAGCACAACUCAUGUUGCAUGCGUUGGUUCAAGCAGAAGCUUCUGUCGUACCCUUUACAUGAGGAUUCUUCCAUGGAAGAACAACUCAUAUUCGCCUUGUCACUGGGCGCCGAGCACAACCUGAUGACGUAUGAGGCGUACGGUACCAACGGCUACUCAUUCUACACCGAGGGAAAGGACAUGAAGAGAGAUGGUUAUCAGAACUCCGGGGUAACGAUGGAAUCCUACACCGGUAACGAGAAGGACAGAUGCGACAGAAGGAUCGAGGAGAUCUGGGAGCUAAGCUACGCUGGAGAGAAGGUCCCGAUGUUCCGUGUCAGAUGGGCCAAGAGCGUCAUAAAAGAAGACCGGUAUUUCACCACCAUGGUUAUACCCGAAGCAAAAUCCAAGACCGCAGGCGCAAACGUCACCGCGAAAAAUGAGCCAUGGGUACUGGCUUCCCAAGUGGACCAAUGCUUCUUCAUUAUCGACCCGCCAAAGUCCGGUCGUGUUGUCGUGAGGAGAGGCAAAAGGAAGAUCAUCGGAAUGGAUGGAGUCGCCAAUGAGCAAGACUUCGACAAGUAUGGUGACCCGAAGAUGGAACAUGACGACGAUGAUGAAGUACCAGCAUACACCACAAGAAGAAGCAGGACCACCCUACCUAAAGGACGUCCGUUCAAGAGAAGAACUCCAUUUACGAAAAAUAAGGGCAAGAAGAUUGUGAACAAAUAGCUAGCUAAGAUCGAUUGUAUUUAAAUUUGAUGAUAUUUUUUCAUAUUCAAUAUGAAAAGAUACUGAAUAUUCAUGAGGACACUCGAUCUCGAUCCCCUCCAUCUCGAUCGAUAUAACCCCUCGCAAGAUCCCCCUCGCCGCCGAGCACCCCCCGCACCCUCCCCCGCUCCACCGCACUAGAUGUUGUUGUGAGGCACUAGAUAUUCAUAGGCAUCUAACUGCAAACAUAAAAAAAACAUACUAGACAUCUACUUGCAAACAUCAAAAAAAAAUUCUAGGCACUUCUCAAACCAAGGUGCAACCAGCACAAGAAAACAAUGCAUAGAAAAAAAGAGGAAAAAAAGAGGGGGGAAGAGGAUUCGAACCCGCAACCUCCUGCUAGGAGGCAAAACCCACGGACCACUGCGCUGCUACUUUGGAGGUUAACAACAUAGAGAAGUCGCACCUCAUAUACAUGCGCCAUUACUAUAUAAAAAAACAUUCUAAUGGCGCACCGCUCAGGGUGCGCCAUUCCUAAGUCGGGUCGCGCCCUCCUAUCUUCUCCCGCGGCCUCCCCCCUACCCCCUUUCCACCAAACAGCAGCGCCCGCCGUCUCCCCGCUCGCCGACCACCGCCGGACCUACUUGCUUUCUUUCUUGGUUCGUGGGAUUCGGCCCGGGUUCCGCCGCCGCCAAGCCCAGCCCAGCGGCCGCGCCGGAGGCGUGGGUGAUCGGUUUUUCCGGAGCCCGCUGUCCUCCUCCACCUACAGCUCGUCCCCUCUACGGUCGCGCCGCCGUUCGUGGUUGGGCUUCGACGAGGUGAGUAGAAGAGCACCACCGACGGCUCCUUCUUCAGAUUCCGGUGAGUCGUCUUCCACCUCCCCGUUCAUCCCCUUCUCCUUGCGGCGGUGACCUAGGGUUAGGUUUAGGAGCUCAAUAGUCAAUAGUCAAUAAGGAAUUUUGUGAAUUCUGUCGGCCCGUGCUCGAUUUGGUGCGGUUCUUCGAGCUGCUGCCUAGGGUUGUUCGUCCGCCUGGCCUGCCCCUUUUUUGUGUCCAACACAAAGCAGGCUUGAUAUGUCUUCUGUCCCUUUAUGCUAAAUUACCCACUUUUGCCCUGGAGUGUGGUCUCGGACUUGUUUGCUUGGUCUAUUUCUGUUUGCGUCUAGCCAAGGGUCUGAUUUGACCAUGCAAAAGUAAUCGAUUCAAUUGCUAUAGAAGAGCUAGUAUUUUUUGGUUUGUUUGUCACUAAAUGGUGGUGCAAAACCAUGAUGCUUCUGUUUGUUUUCUGGAUUCUGUUGGCUUAUGGGAGAGUUGGCUCAGUUGCUUGGUUUCUGUCGUAAACUUGUUCUUGAUGCUAAUAAUGUUCUAGUUUCUUCUGUGGGGAAGGGCCACUUGUCAGAUAUCUUUGUGUACGGUGGUCUUCUGCAUCAUAUGGAAAUUCUCCAUCUAGUGUAGUCAAUAGAUGUUGUUAAGUGACUGUGUCAUGGUUUUGGUUCUGUUUUUAAAGAGGAAAGCCAGUUUUUUUCAGGCUUCAAGAAAAUAAUUUCCCAGAAUAAUACUGCUAAGCCCAAGCUUGUUAAUCGGCAUGUACUUCUCUGUUAUAUAUUGCUAAUGUCUGCUCUGAUGUGCUUGGUAUUGUAAAGUGUCUUUUUUCUACAUCAAUAGCCUUUAUGCAUCCAAGUUAUCAAACUAUGUGAACUAGAAAUGAUAAUAGAGAGAAUUGAUCAUUACUUUUCUGAACUGUUGCAGAAGUCUCAAUAGUUCUUUCAAGUUCAUACAUUGAAAGGAUUGUUUCACAAAUAGAGUGAGGCUUAGCUCUGGAUCAGGAGUAAGACCUUUCCAGCUUAUACCAAGCUCAGGUCUGGUUGGUGGUUUAAGUUGCAAAUCUAAGGUAACAUCAGCUGCUCCACUCUUAUUAGAAAGUUGAUAUGCAUUCGACGGUUUCAGAGUAUUGUCAAUAUUUAGACUAAGCUGACUGCUGACUGAAGAAAAGGGUGCCACUGAGGGAACAUGUGCUUUCUGAUGCUGAAAGAUUCUAUGAUGGGGUAUGUUCAAACCAGCCAGCAUUGUAGGCAAACCUUCAAGUUGAUCAACCGGGUCCGGUGAUACAUUAAGAUCUAAAUUAGAUAGUUUUCCCAAUCUAGCAUUAGAAUAAGAUUCUGUGCCACUUGUUGUUUGCACAUCCUUGGGAGGUCUUGCUGAAGGAAAAAUAGAAAACCCCUGAUCUAGUUUAUCUCUCUUGACAGGGGAACUUGAGUUGAUUUUGGCAUUCUGACGAGACGCUAACUGUAAAUCUAGAGUUAGAAACUUGUGACUCUGUGAUCUGGCAACGGGAGCAACACUCCCCAGUCUACCACUCUCUCCACGAGAGGGGGUCUCGUUUGAGCCAUUAAGUAGCACACCUUUCUUCUCGUUCGUUGCUGGAGUAAAACAUCUACUGGGAAUAUCUAAUUUAGAUCUAUUCAAGACAGGCUCAUUGCUAAAGACCAGCAACUACCAAGUAAUAUUUGCACAUAGGUUGUAAGACAUUAACCCAGCCAGUUCAAGAGUAAAUAGUUCGUUUGCCUGCCAACGUCAGAACAAAUGGAGCAAUCAUCUGACAAAAACAUGGAGCAUAAAUAAAACAGCAAGUAGGCAUGAAGAGAAGACAUAAAGCAUCAUUGUUCCCCAUUAGCAUAUAGUAUACCGACGACAACCAAACUACAAAAGGCCUACCUAUCCGUGUCAUUUCAAGGUCUAUUAAGCAGUGAGUUUAAGACACUGAAAUGCAUUGAUACAAGAGACACAUCUUGGUUCUUGAAACUUUGUAAACCAAAAAUUCAUACUACUAACUAGUUAUGCCCAUGGUCAGCCACCGAACCCGAUGCUCCAAAACCAGAAUUGGCACUCUAGUGGAGAUGUCAUUUGUUCUACUUCCAUCACCCCCUGGGCUUAAAUACACAUAAUGUGACUCUGCCCGCUUAUUUCACUAGCAUUGAUACAAGAGGCUUAUUUCACUAGCCUGCCAAGAUUUCUUGCAGAUUUCAUAUUUAACAUGUUGUAUUUAACCUUUUUUUCUUAUCAGUUUCAUCCUUAUAUGACUCUGCAACAUAAUAAAGGUGGUUGAAGAAAGUUGUGCACACGCAAGAAAGUUGGUAGUAGUAUUAGUAGUUUGGGCUAUUCGUUUUUGAGCCCGGGCUCACCCUUCUCCGAGCUCUCCGACCAUCGUGUCAUGAUGAUUUUGCAGGUACCCCAAGAGGCCCUUGAGUUUGCUGGAAUGUCGAUUAACUUCCGUUCCGGCAAAUUCGGGUACUCCAUAUGUCCUAUUUUCAGCAAAGGUCAUGCUGAAAUUUUUCGUGAAUUUUAGCAUGACUUUGCUAAAAAUAGGACAUAUGGGGUACUUGCGACUAAUGCAUGGG